GGAGGUUCAAGCUGAUCAGAGCAUGUCAAGGUCAUUUGAGGACCUAUACAGUCAACUGUGUAAGAGCUGAGGGCUAGGAGGGGAAGAAAUGAGUUUCAACAUCUCAUUCAUGUUCAAAAGAGGUUUAUUCAUCAUGUCAAACUCAUACCUUGAAGAUUUUGAAGACAGAUCAAAAGUUUCCCAAAAUGGAAAGUGACCUGUAAUUGAAAGUUUCCAAAAAUAGCAAGUUUUUGGUUCACAUUCAACUUAACUUUCCAACAUCAAAGAAGCUUCAAAUGAAAUUUUGUCCAACAUGAAAGUUGAAGAUCUUUCUCUCCCAUUUCCAAAAAGUCCAAGAUCAUGAGCAUCUGAUGAAUGGUUGAUGAGUUAUGAGCAAAUGCUCAUCAAGUGUGCAUGGAACUUCAAAAUGCCAUAACUUUUGUUUCAAAACUCCAAAUGGAGUCACUCUUUUUGCAAAUUGCUUCUCAUGACAUAUAUUUUCCAAGUCAAGCAUUGCAUUGCAUGAAAAAAAGUUCAAAUGAUCAAAUGUCCAUUCAAGUGCAUUUUGGAGGGAAAAUGGGGAAUUUAAAUUUGGUGAAUCACAUGAGUAAAAUAUCACUUGCCUUGUGUUUUUUGGCUGAUUUUAAGUGAAUGUGAGCAUUUGCAUGCUACUAUUCAUGUGGUGCAUGGCCAUGAUACAUCAUUUUCCAUUUGUUGCAUUCCAUUUCAAUUAUUGCUAAUUUUCAUUAACCAUUACAAAUUAGGAUUAACAGGGUAAUUAACAUGGCAUAUAAAUAGUAAAUCAUAACAUAAUUUUCAGUUUACACAUUUUCUAGAUCUAGAAUUUGCUUCUCCCUCCAAAAUUCUCUCUCCUUGGAUUUCAAAAAUUCUCCACACAAACACACAUUUUCUUCAUAGAUCCUUCAUUAUCAUGGAGUUUUUGAGCAAGAUUCAUCCCUAAUUCGUGGAAAUUGAGCAAGAUUUGGAGUUGUUCAAGCACAUCAACACUUCAAUGGAGGUUUGAAAUUCAACAAGAUCUAUGUCGUGGCAAGCAUCCAUUUCUACAUCAAGCUUCAUAACAAGAGCAAAGGAGAAGAUCUACACACUUUUGAGGCCUUGAACACGCUAUUUCCAUUGACUGCUCUUCAAGAGGUUAGGAUUUCGAACCUCUUAAUUCUUCAAAUCAUUGCCAUGUUUAGGUAGAUCUCAUCAUGCUGAGAAUUCUGAUGUGUUUGGAUAUAAAUUUGGUGAAAUAUUGAAGAAGUUGUGUUGAUUUAAAGUUUGUAGAUCCAACUUUCUUUCCUUCGAUUCGUGAAAAUUAUGAUGAACUAGGCUUAGCUUUCAUGAUAUCUGUGAUCUACUCAUCAAGAUCCAACUUUCUUUCCUUCGAUUCGUGAAAAUUAUGAUGAACUAGGCUUAGCUUUCAUGAUAUCUGUGAUCUACUCAUCAAGACCUUUCCAAUGAUAUAAUUUUUAUUAAAUUCUGCAAAAAAAAAUUGGAGGCACUGUAGCGCCACCGUCUCCACGAGGAAGACGGUGGAAACCACCACUCCCGCCGCCGUCUGGUUUGCAUGCUAGGGUUUAUGCCCAGUCAGCUGCCACGCCUUUGCCUCAUGUCCAAAUGAUAGGCCACGCUUCCUUUGACCGCUUCCACAUGUGCCUUGACUCUGAGUUAGCAUGCCAACUCAUUUAAUGGAGCGCAGCGUUUUGAAACGCGCCUCCCUUCGAUUCCCAGCCUUGUACAAUUGUAAUUUUAUUUUGUUUCUUCAGCGCAUUUUCACACGUACCUAGUUCGAUCCUCUGCUCUAGCACUUUUUUAAAUUACCUUCACCAUUUAUCAUUUCCCUCCAUUUUAUCAUGUGAUUUCUCCAUUUUAUUUCAUUAUUUUCUUCCAACUUCCAAAAUUCAUAACAAAUUGAAAUUUAAUCCAAAUCACUUCCAAUUUUUUGCUACAUGUUCAUAUGGAUGUCGAUUAUUUUGUGUUGCUGAUUUCAUGAUUCUAUCAUUUCUGGAAUUUUAAUUGUGUUGGCUUCUUUGGACAUGUAUGCAAAUGUGACAUGCCUCAUUCUUUCUAUUGUGAAAUGCUCAUACAUUGGCCAUUGGACAUGUAUGCAAAUGUGACAUGCCUCAUUCUUUCUAUUGUGAAAUGCUCAUACAUUGGCCAAUUGAUUUGAAAUUUGGUAUGCUGGUUCCCAACAUGUUGCAUGAUUUUUGAGGCUUGGUUGUGCAUUUUUAUCAUUUUGCAUCUCUGUUAUAGGCACAUGAAUGUAUGGUGUGACAAUGUGUGUCACACAAUUUGAUGUUGAUCUUGUUCAUUUUCUUAUACAUGUCAAUUGAGCUUUUCUGGUUCCAAUUUUUUGCAUGAGGCUUGCGUUUAACAUGUUGUAUGCACAUAAAAAUUUCCAUGGUUAUUUGAUUCACUUCUGUUUUAAUAUGGAAUUUCAACUCUUAAGGUCCAAUUGUGUGCUUUGUGAUUGCCUUUGCCUUAUCAUGCUCCUUAGAUGGAUUUGCUUUAGGAUUUGAGUUUGGUCCUUUUUAGGACAUGUUCCUACUUGAAUAAAUUUGCUUCAUGUUCAAUAUCAACUGCUGUUUUGACUUUUUACUUUGCCUUUGACCCUAGUCUUGGACUAGUGGUUUGUACUCAUCUUUUGAGCUUUGUAUUUCAGGUUCAAGCUAUUAGCUCUAGUGGUUGAUGCAAUCUCAUAGGUAAUUUCUUUAACUCCAUGUAGUCUGGAAGCCCUGUCGUUUCUGUUUGGCAGGCAUUUGGCUGAAGUCCUCCUUAAGAGGCAAUGUCUGUGAUUGUUUAUAUUUGUGCCAUGUACUUCAAGUCCUCCUAAGUGAAGAGGUGAUUGGCAGAUAGAGGGGAUUUGCAAUCAAUCCCCUGCUAUUCAGUUGAGUCUUUCAUUAUGCUCGCACUACGUGCUGAUGCAUUUUGAAUAAACACCCAAAAUCUUGUAUAGUCAGUCAGGUGGAAUAGGGUCCCUCAUUCUGGACCCCCACACCUUCUUUGAUUCAAGCUCACCCGGGCCAGGGUUAAGAGCUAUGAGGUCUAAUCCUCAUUACCUUUCAUCUGCUCACCCUGACGGUCAAUGUCAGCGGUUAAGAGCCUCCGACACCCCUUCCAGUGUUGGCUUGUUUGUCGAGGUUGAUAUGACCCCUUGAUUAAAGCCUAGCCUUGUAUGAGCCGCUUGUUUGCAUAUAGGGUGUGAUGAUUGCUUGUGAUUGCUUUCGAUAUGUUUACCUGCUUUCCACUUCUCACCUCCUUUUCUGUAGGAUUCGUACGUUUAACUUUCGAGGAAGUUGAACGUAUGUAGAGUUAAGACUUGAGUUGACUCGCUUCCUGUGCGAGUCAAACUCUUGAUUAGAUACCUCAACCUAGGGCUACUGUGGAUUGUAUGACAACUAUUAGGCUCGAGUCAGUCUCCCUUUUAGUUUGUUAUUCCCCAGGUCUCUGGUUAGGAGGAAGUUUCUCCCCUGUUAAGGGGAACUACGUCGCCCUGAUCCUCAUACCAGAUGAGGUACGUAGGCAGGAGAUCGUGCGAGAUCUCUCCGGGCACCCUUUUCUUUUUUGCGUGUGUUUUGCUUGACAACUAUUAGGUCCGAGUUCCCGACUCCCUUUUAGUCUGUGUGUUCAACCUCUUUGUUUCUUUUGACGUCUCAGCGUCUGCUUGGUGUCUGUGUUGACAACUUCUAGGCUCGAGUUCCAGACUCCCUUUUAGUUUGUCAAUUUUCUUUCUACCUUUGGUGUUCGCUGGUUAGCGAUUGUUUAUUUGUUUGGAGUCGGAUGUAAGACCAUUGAUUGGCUAUCUGUUUCCUGUUUCUUUUGUGGAGUUGGAUGUAAGACCAGCGAUUGGCAUUCCAUUUCCUAUUUGCGUUUGUUUGUUUGGAGUCAGACGUAAGACCAGCCAUUGGCAGUCUGUUUCCAUUUGCGAGUUUCUUUUGAUGUCUUAGCGUUUUUGCGUGUGUUUUGUUUCGGCGUGCAUUAGCCGAACUACGGUAGCUCUGAUUCUCAUUCCAGAUGAGAUACGUAGGCAUAGGAUGCGAUAUCCUAGCGAGCCCGUUUCCCAUUUCCCCGAACUACAUCGACUCUGAUGUUUGUUUCUGACAAACUAUGUAGGCCUAGGAUGCGACAUCCUGCCGAGUCCGCUUCCUCCGUCUUUUUCCACCUGUGUUUUAUUCCAGUGUGUGUGCAUUCUUUGAGCAGUUAUUUAGCAACCUUAUUCUAUUCUUUUGAGCGUGGAUCCCGUCGAGUACGACGGAUGUGAGGGGUGCUAAUACCUUCCCCUUGUGUAACCGACUCCCGUACCUUGUAAUCUCUGGUCGUAAGACCAUUCCUUUCCCUUUUUCAGGUUUACUUCGAGCGUUUCCUUUCCCUCCUUUGGGAUAAAUAACGCACGGUGGCGGCUCUGUGUCUUCCCGCCGGUUGUUUUUCGCGUUGCGACACUCCAACGUCAGCAAGAUAUAACAUUUACUACCAAAUACAUGGAAGGUAUUUGACUGUAGGUCUUCUUCCUUCAGACUUCAUAUAGGGUUGUGGGAGUCCCUUUCUUCAAUGUCACUCUGUUGUGAACAUAGCAGGCUGUGUUCAUGGCUUCAGCCCAAAAAUGGUAGGGCAAUUUCUUAGCAUGAAUCAUAACUCUGGCUGAUUCUUGAAGAGUUCUAUUUUUUCUUUCCACCACACCAUUUUGCUGGGGAGUAAUGGGAGAUGAAAACUCAUGAUGAAUUCCUUCUGAAGAACAAAAUUCAGCAAAUUUGUUGUUCUCAAAUUCUUUCCCAUGAUCACUUCUAAUUUUGAUGACAGGACUUUCCUUUUCUCUUUGUAGUUUUAGACAAAGCUCCUUGAAGACUUCAAACACAUCAGAUUUUUCUCUUAUGAAAUUGAUCCAGGUGUAUCUGGAGAAGUCAUCUACCACUAUAUAUGCAUACUUCUUCCCACCAAGGCUUUCCACUUGCAUCGGUCCCAUUAAAUCCAUAUGGAGGAGUUCCAAGACUUUGGUAGUGGUGUCAUGUCUGAGCUUCUGGUGUGACAUCCUUGUCUGUUUUCCAAUCUGACAUUCUCCACAGAUUUUUCCUUCAUCAAUCUUUAGGUUGGGAUUUCCUCUAACAACUUCAACAGAUAUGACUCUCUUCAUACCUUUAAGAUGCAGAUGGCCUAAUCUUUGAUGCCAUAUCUUCACUUCUUCCUCUUUGGCCAAGGUACACUUUGAAGAGUAACCAGUUUCUUGAGAACUCCACGUGUAGCAGUUGUCUUUAGACCUAACUUCUUUCAUGAUCACUUCAUUUUCCUUGUUAGUAAUCAAACAUUCAAUUUUAGUGAAGUUUACAUUUAGACCUUGGUCACACAGUUGACUGAUGCUUAUUAGAUUAUCAGUUAAUCCUUUAACAAGUAGGACAUUGUCAAGGUCAGGAACUCCAGGGCAAUCAAGCUUACUAAUUCCUUUGAUUUCACCCUUUGCUCCAUCACCAAAGGUUACAUAACUUGUGGCAUGGGGAUGAAGUCCAGUUAGCAGGUUUUUGUUUCCAGUCAUGUGUCUGGAGCAACCAUUGUCAAAAUACCAAUCUUCUUUGGCUGAAACUCUGAAGGAAGUGUGAGCUAUUAGACUUGAAACAUUAGUCUUGGGAACCCAUAGCUUCUUGUUGACUGGCCUAUGAUGGUUGGGUCUUGAUUGAUGGUGAGUCUGAUAAUGAACAAAGCUAGGAUAACCAUACACCUUAUAGCAGAAGGGCUUCAGGUGGCCAAGUUUUCCACAGUAAUGGCAUCUCCAUCUUUGAUGUUUCCCUUUCUGUUGUCUUUCCUUCUGAUGUUAUGAUAUGUGAUGUGACAUUGCAGGUUUGUUAUCAAUAUGGCUGCACUUAGGUUUGGAUUUAGAUUUGCCAUUUUUGUAACUGCUAUCAGCCUUAGAUUCAUUGAACCCAAUGCCAGAUUUGUCUCCUAUUGGUUGACCAGUCUGGAGAAUCUUGUCUAAGAUGUCAGAUUCAUUACUAAGCAUUCUUACAUACUUGGUCAUCUCAUCUAGUUUGGAAUUCAAGAGUACAACUUCAGUUUUCAACUUGGAGAUGGUUUCCACAUGUUCCCCCUUUUCACUUUCCAGCUGAGCUAUCACUUUCUUCUGGUUUUCAACUUGUUUUCACACUUCUCCACUUUUGUGACACAACUCUCUGUAGGUAGUGGCCAACUCUUCAAAGGUUACUUCAUCAUCACUUGUCUCCUCAUCAGAAUCCCAUCUUCCUGUCAAUGCAGUCACAUGAUUUGCAGCUUCUUCUGUUUCACUUUCAUCAGACCAAGAGGCAACAGGACUCCUCUUCUGUUUCUUGAGAUAGGUCCCACAUUCAGUUUUAAUGUGACCAUACCCAUCACAUUCAUAGCACUGAACUCCUUUUCCUUCUUUGGGCUUUUCUUCUGGUCUUGAUCUUCUUCCAAUAUUGUUGGAUUUACUGAUGUCAAAUGUGAUGUUCUUGACAUUUGCCUUAGAUCUUACAUCCAUCUUUUUCAUAAGUCUGUUGAACUGUCUUCCCAGCAUUGCUACCUCAUUUGCCAGAUCUUCAUCAAUCUCAUUUGCCUGCUUUGAUACCAAUUGAAAUUCUGGUAUCAGAUAUGAGAUGUCGAAGGUAAUGUCACGACACUAAUAUCUGAGUAACACAAAUAGGAUAAAGAUAAAGAAUGGUAAUGCAAAAGACACAAGCAAUUGUUAACCCAGUUCGGUGCAACUCACCUACGUCUGGGGGCUACCAAGCCAGGAAGGAAAUCCACUAAAUAGAAUCAGUUCAAAGACUCUCAGUACACUUCAACAAGUUACAGUCUUUCUCACCUAAUCUCUACCCGUGCAAUUUCUACCUAAGCACUCUUAGAUAUGAGAACACUCACUCCCCCUCAAUCACACCUGUGAUUUUAAACAACAAAUUCCUUGUGAAAAGAAGACACUUUUCAAUAACACACACUUGAUUUUACUUCACAACUUCAAUCAAGUAGACACACACUUGAUCUUGCUUAACAACUUUGAUCAAGUAGACACACACUCUUGCUUACAAGCUUAGAGUGAAAAAUUACAACUCACAAAUCAGACCAAUUCAAUCAUCUAUGGAUGAAUUGAAUGGAUUACAAGUCUCACGACUAAAUAUGACAUAAACCCUUAUAUUCUCUCAAUAUUUCGUUCAGUAUUGGUUGGUGUGUUCAAUCAGGUUUUCCAAGUCCCUUUUUAUAGAAGCUUUCAGCUGGGCUUGGACAUCUUGAAAACCCUAAAACUAUUUUCCAAUUAAAUCUUCUCAUGUCAGCUGGUUAGAUCUCCUUGGAAAAUAAGUAAAUCAGGUUGAAAUCAAUGAUUGAAUGUGCCUUCAAAUCAGAUCUUCAAUCAUACAUAGAUUGCCAUUAAAUGCGCAAUCACAUAACACAUAACAUUUACCCUGAAUGUUCUGUGUACCUGAUGUCAUGACAUCAGGUCUGAUAUCCUGGAACAAUCUUGCAUAAUUCCAUUUAUAAUUUCCAGCAGGUACAUAAUAUCAGAUUUCAUGACAUCGUGUAUGACAUCCUGAAACUAUCCUGCAUAAUUAUGUUUUUAAACUCCAGCAGGUACAUAGAUAUCUUAUGUUAAGACAUCACAUGCAACAUCUUGUGAACAUUCUUUGUUUUACCAAAAUUGUUGCCAACACUUAGAACCAACAGGGUGAAAACUCAAAUCCACCAAAAUGAAUGAUUGAUCUUGAUGAUUACUUGAUCCAUCCAUUGACCUUUCUUUGUGUUUUCCUUGUGUGUGGUUGAUUGCAUUCAUGCAUACAUGUGCAUUAUAACAUUCAUCACAGAAAGAAAAUUUCAAGGAACUAAGGUCGUAUUUGAAAAUAUUUUUAGACCAUGGAUUCCGGACAAAGGAACACUAAGAAGUACAGUUUCAGAUGUCCAGACUUGAAAGAGUUAAGGAAGCUAGCAUCUUUUGUCGUUGAUCCUAUGGAUUUCAAAGGACGUCAUGGAAAGCUUUUAUCUGUAUUAUAUGCUGAUGUGGUUGAAGGACUCUUGAGUGUCUUGGUCCAGUUUUAUGAUCCUCUCUUUCGAUGCUUCACUUUUAUUAAUUAUAAGCUCAUGCACAUGUUAGAGGAGUAUUACCAUAUCUUGAGUAUACCUAUAUCUAACAAGGUACCUUUCAGUGGAUUAGAGGAGAUUCCGGAAUCCCAAUUCAUAGUUCAUGCUCUUCAUUUGAAGAAAUCUGAGGUUGAUGCCAAUAUGACGAAGAAAUGAGGGAUUCAAGGUCUUACUUUUGAGUUUGUGAUUGGGAUAGCUACCACUUUUACUCAAGUUGGUAGUAUGUACCCUUUCAAAGCCAUCUUUGUCUUGCUUAUCUAUGGUUUAACAUUGUUCCCAAACAUUGACAAUUUUGUUGGUGUUAACGCCAUUAGAAUCUUCUUGAUUGGGAAUCAUGUUCCGACUUUGUUGGGUGACACAUAUUUCUCUCUACAUCUAAGGAAUUAUAAGGGUAGUUGAACCAUUGUGUCUUGCGUUCCUCUUAUGUACAAGUGGUUUAUUUCACACUUGGCUCAGACACAAGUCUUCUUGGAUAACAAAUAAUGUCUACGGUGGUCUCAGAGACUUGUGUCUAUCACUAAUGAUGAUAUUACUUGGUAUGAUUAUGCAUUUGAUGGCUUGGAGAUUAUUGACAGUUGUGGUGAAUUCUCUAAUGUGACUCUUAUUCGUACACACAAGGAGGAAUAAACUAUAACCCUACUUUGGCUCGUCCUCAACUUGGGUUCCCCUUGAAGGAUAAACCUAAUAACGUUCAGUUAGAGGGUCUGUCCUAUCAAGAGGGUAAAUAUCCCCAAAAUUUGAAGAGUAGGAUGGUGCGUGCUUGGUACAAUGUUCAUAGGAAGGGAAGAGCCGAGCUUGGACCGUGCUUUUGUGUAGCUUUGGAAUCUUACACUAGUUGGGUGAAGAAGAGAGCUUUGGAGCUUAAGAUGUCGUACGCCUGCGAAAGACCUAUGUUUAUGGUUGUAGCUGAUCCAUCAACUCUCCCUAACCAAGAAGUAGAGGAGUUAUACGAUGCACUAGCUAAGAUGAAGCAAGAGAGGGACCUUUAGGAAGAACAUUCCAUCCUUUGAAUCGAAAGCACGUGGAGUUGCAACUUGAGUUGAAAGACAAAGAUGCACUCAUCGAGAUUCUUGAAGAGCGUGCAAUAAAGAGAAAAAGAGACAGCUAAAUGAUUUAUUUUCCUCUAGUAUUCCUCAGCCUUCCGGUGCAUGGAAGAAGAUCAUCGAUCAGCUCAUCAUCGAGAAAACUCAGAUGAAAACCACUUAUGAGUCAGAGAUCAAAUGCACCCGAAGGAAGUACAUGCCCUUGGCUAGUUCAGUUGAUUCAGUUUCUAGGGAUCCUUAGGAUGAUACUUUCCUUUUCUCUUGUAUUUGUAUUUUUGGUUUCUAAAAUUGUACUCAGUGUAAUCCUUCCAAAAUUUUAUGAAUAAAAAGAGAUUUUAUGGUCAAUUCCAAAUAUUAUUAUUGAAGUAUUUUCAAGUAAGGCUUUGAAUAUUCCUUGAAAUAAUAAAAUAAAAACAUUGUAUUUCAUGUAUCAUUUGCAUAGCAGGUUUUUUGCCUUCUAGCCCUUCGGCCAGAUGUCUCAUUGUUCUUCAUCUUUGUAUCAGACAAGUUGACUCAUCAAUACGAUACUCACUCUAAUCAUUAACAAAUAAUGGAUCAGAUAGAAUAAAAGAACUGAGAGCUCAAGCAAGAAGUUUCCAGAAUCACCGCUCUGAUGGAGUCAUUCAUUGUUGCUCAGAAUCAACCGACUCCAACUCCUACAACUCCUCAAAGGACUGUCAUCUCAGAGGUCGUCUCAAUGCCAGUGUUUGUGGUUCCUUCCAUCCAGCCUGCACAAGCUAUACCUGUCGGAUCCUCGUGGGGAAUGCCUCAAAAUUUUGUGCCUGAAGGUUAUGCUCCAACUGUUGCUCCUAUGUCGGCAUCUCGCCCGGUCAUGUCAAUACCUCCUCCCGUGGUGCAUGUUAUGCCAUGUGUUAAAGAAAUCAUUUAUCAUUCUGAGCCAUCUGAGGACCCUGAUAUGUACGAGAAAAUGGAUGAAAUGAAAGACCGAUUUCAAUACCUGAAAAAAGAAUUGAAGACCCUGAGGGGUAAAGAUCUAUUUGGGAAAAAUGCUGCUGAAUUUUGCUUAGUGCCCAACGUAAAAAUACCUAUUAAAUUUAAGGUCCCAGACUUUGAGAAGUAUAAGGGGAAUACUUGUCCUUUGAGCCAUCUUGUGAUGUACGCCCGCAAGAUGUCGACCCAGACAGAUAAUGAUCAGUUGCUUAUCGAUUAUUUUUAAGACAGUUUGAUCGGUGUCGCGCUUCAGUGGUAUAUGGGUUUAGAUAGUGCUAGUGUUUGUACUUUCAACGACUUAGGCGAGGCCUUCGUCAAGCAGUAAAAGUACAAUGUAAAUAUGGCUCAUGAUCGUGAUCAGUUGCGGUCCAUGUCUCAGAAGGAUAAGGAGACAUUUAAAGAGUACGCACAGAGGUGGAGAGAGCUUGCUUCUCUAAUUAGUCCUCCAUUGGAAGAUAAGGAGAUGACGAAGAUCUUCCUCAAAACUAUGAGUUCAUUCUAUUAUGAGCGUAUGAUUUCCAGUGCUCCCAAUGACUUCACUGAAAUGGUGAACAUGGAGAUGCGUUUAGAAGAAGGUGUUAGAGAGGGCCGUUUGUCUAAAGAAGAAGCAUCUACGAGCAAGAAGUUUGGAGAUAGUUUCUCUAAGAAGAAGGAAGGGGAAACCAAUUCAGUAUCUAUGGGGAGGCAAAGGAGGCCUCAUGUGAGGAAAAAUUCCAGAUCUCAACAUCAUCAUCAUCAAGUAUCCUUUGUCAUUCAAAUAUUUACCAACAAUUAUGUUAUUAAAUCAACACCAUUUCAACAACAACACACUCACAACAAUCAUAAUUUCAAUAACAACCAGCAUAAUAAUUUUGAAAGGAAGAAGGUCACUUUUGAUCCUAUUCCAAUGACAUAUGCAGAACUGUAUCCUUCUCUUGUCGUCAAGAAUUUGAUCCAACCGAGAAAUCCUCCAGAUACACCUGAGCCUCUACCAUGGUGGUACAAGCCCGAUGAACAUUGCGCUUUUAAUCAAGGGGAACCUAACUAUGACAUCAAGAAUUGUUAUCCAUUGAAGUAUGAAGUCUAGAAAUUAAUCAAAGGUGGGAUGGUGUACUUUGAGGACCGCACACCAAAUGUCAAAGCUAAUCCUUUGCUCGCACAUGGAAAUUCUUCUGUGAAUAUUGUAGAUGGUUGUCCUGGUAAAUUCAGAGUUUUUGAUGUUCAUCAUAUCCAAAGGUCUUUGGUGGAGAUACAUAUAACUCUGUGUUUGAUCAGUGAUUAUGAACAUGACCAUGAUGGUUAUGUUAUCUGCAGUGUUAAUCUACGACGACGUGUGAUUGUCAAGAGAGACAUUCAAAAGUUGAUGGAUGAAGGUGUUAUUCAGAUCAACCAAUCAAGAGAUAUGGGUAAUGAUAUUAAUGUAAUUGUGCCAAUAUUCAAGACUCAUGAGCGAGUAGUAAUCUAGUUUGACACCAGCAAAAGAGAUAAUAGUUCGGUAUCGCUGUUGGUAAUACGGUUAGAGGGCCCAGUCCUGUAUGCAUCCGAUAAAGUUGUACCUUACAAAUAUAAUGCUACUAUGAUUGAAAAGGGGAAAGAGGUUCCUCUUCCCACAACAAAUUCAGUAGUGAGCAUUGUUGAUGUUGUUAAAGUGACCCGAAGCGGUCGUGUAUUUGGUCUGGUAUCCACGAAGGUUGAGGAGGAUGUUGUGGUUGAUAAGAAGGCGAAUGUUCCUUUGGUUAGUCCUGUUAACAUUCAAAUUGGUUAGUCUGGUGAAUCCAGUGUGUUGAAUGUUAAGGAUGAUAAUGAUGAGGUUCUCCAAUUGAUUAAGAAGAGUGAGUUCAAUGUUGUGGAGCAGUUUCUCCAAACACCAUCCAAUAUCUCUGUCUUAUCUUUGUUGAUGAAUUCCAAAGUGUACCGAGAUGUGUUGUAGAAGGUGCUUGAGCAAGCAUAUGUUGAACAGGAUAUCACGAUUGAUCAGCUUGAUCAUAUUGUUGCCAAUAUCACUUCAUGCAAUAAUUUGAGUUUCUGCAAUGAAGAGCUUCCCGAGGAAGGCAUAAAUCAUAACUUGGCCCUCCAUAUAUCCAUGAAUUGUAAAGAAGAUGCUCUUUCCAAUGUUUUGGUAGAUACUAGUUCAUCUCUAAAUGUUCUACCCAAAUAUACUUCAGCAAGGUUAUCAUAUCAGGGUGCACCCAUGAGGUACAAUGGUGUGGUUGUGAAAGCAUUCGACGAUUCUCGUAAAACUGUCAUUGGAGAAAUGGACCUCCCAGUCAAGAUUGGUCAGAGUGAUUUCCAGAUUACUUUCCAAGUAAUGGAUAUUCACCUUGCCUAUAACUAUUUAUUGGGAAGGCCAUGGAUUCACGAGGCUAGUGUUGUCACAUCGAUGCUACAUCAGAAACUCAAAUUUGUUAAGAAUGGUAAGCUGGUUGUUGUGGGAGGAGAGAAAGCGUUGUUGGUAAGCCAUUUGUCGUCUUUCACAUAUGCUGGAGCUGAAGAGGAGAUUGGAACUCCGUUUCAAGGUUUAUCAGUAUCUAAUGAUGUUCAGAAGACUGAGGUAUCCAUCUCUUCCUUGAAAGAUGCACAAGAAGUUGUUCAGGCUGGUGGCACAGACAAGUGGGGUCAUGUCGUAGAAGUCGCCGAGAACAAGAACAGGGUUGGUAUGAAAUUUUAGCAAAUGUCGUUCCAAGGAGAUGUCAAAGAUAUGCAACCAAUUUUCUGCAGAGGAGGGUUCAUUCACAAAGAAGAACAACACUCAGUUGCUAUUAUUCAUGAAGACGAAGAUGAAGAAGAUUGUGCCAACUUUGUAACUCAUGGGCAAACUUAUAACAAUUGGGUUGCUGUUGAUGUUCCUAUCAUUGUUCAUCGUUCAAAUUAAUAUGUAUUAUUUUUUAUAGAAAAAUACUUCUCCUAUGCCUAAGGGAGAAGUGAAACAUUGUUGGACAUUUUCAAAUUAUCAUCAAUAAAAUGCAAUUUUAUUCAUCCACAUUUAUGUUGUUUUUACUUUUUGUUAUUACUUUUUGCUUUUUCUGAAAAUGGCAAUCACAAAAAACAUAAAUAAGAAAUAAUUUUUCCUAUAUCUGCAUAAUAUUUGUUUGCACUUCAUAUUUCUAAAAUCAAAAUAUCAAAUCAUUAUGCAGGUUGCUUUUCAAACCCAUUGAAUAUAAUGAUCCUACUCUCUCUCCAAACUUUGAUUUCCCUGUGUUCGAAGUAGAGGAAGAGAUUGAUGAUGAAUACGUUUCUGAUGAGUUAUCAUGUUUUCUUGAGCACAAGGAAAGAACCAUUCAGCCGUUUGAAGAGCAGAUUGAGAAGAUCAACUUGGGUUCCAAAGAUGAUAUCAAGAGUCAAGAUUGGGUCGCAGCUUCGUCCAAAUAUUAAGAAGGGGUUGGUUGAGCUUCUUCGAGAAUAUUCUGAUGUGUUUUCUUGGUCUUAUCAAGAUAUGCCAGGUCUUGAUACUGAUAUUGUGGAGCAUAGAUUGCCUUUGAAGCCCGCAUGCCCGCCAAUCAAGCAGAAAUUGAGAAGAACUCAUGUUGAUAUGGUAGUGAAGAUCAAAGAGGAAGCCCAAAAGUAGAUUGAUGUCGGUUUCCUUGUUACCUUCGAAUAUCCGCAAUGGGUGGCCAUAUUGUGCUUGUUCCUAAGAAGGAUGGAAAAUUCCACAUGUGUUUUGAUUAUAGAGAUUUGAAUAAAGCCAAUCCAAAAGAUAAUUUUCCUCUAUCACACAUUGGUAUAUUGGUGGAUAAUACAACUAAGUCCAAUAUAUUCUCUUUUAUGGAUGGAUUUUCCGGUUAUAAUCAGAUUAAGAUGGCACCCGAAGAUAUGGAGAAUACCAUAUUCAUUACACCUUGGGGAAAAUUCUACUAUCGAGUGAUGCCCUUCGAUUUAAAGAAUGCUGGUGCAACAUACCAGAGAGUUAUGACCACUCUUUUCCAUGAUAUGAUGCAUAAAAAGAUCGAGGUCUAUGUUGAUGAUAUGAUUGCCAAAUUAAAGACUAAAGAUGAGCAUGUUGAACAUUUAUUGAAUCUAUUCCAGCAUUUGAGGAAGUAUAAACUCUGCUUGAAUCCCAAUAAGUGUAUGUUUAUUGUUUUCUCUAGUAAGUUGUUGGCCUUUAUUGUCAGCAAGAAGGGUAUUGAAGUUGAUCCUACCAAGGUCAAAGUAAUACAAGAGAUGCCUGCACCUAAAACUGAGAAGUAGGUCAGAGGUUUUCGUGGCCGCUUGAACUAUAUCGCAUAUGACUGCCACAUGUGUGCCCAUAUUCAAGCUCCUUUGGAAAGAUCAGUCCUGUGAUUGGACCAAAGAUUGUUAGAAAGCUUUUGACAGUAUCAAAGAAUAUCUGCUUGAGCCUCUGAUUCUGUCUCCACCUAAAGAAGUAAGACCUUUAAUCAUGUAUUUGACUGUACUUGAAGAGAGUAUGGACUGUGUUCUUGGUCAGCAAGAUAAAUCUGGUAAAAAAGAAUAUGCUAUUUACUACCUUAGUAAGAAGUUCACCGAUUGUCAGUCUCGGUAUUCUAUGGUUGAGAAGACAUGUUGUGCUUUGGCUUGGGCUGCUAAGCGUCUGCGCCAGUAUAUGUUAAAUCAUACUACUUGGUUGAUAUCCAAGAUGGAUCCAAUCAAGUACAUAUUUGAAAAGCCUAUUUUAACUGGGAGGAUUGCCCAUUGGUAGAUGUUGUUAUCUGAGUAUGAUAUUGAAUAUCGGGCUCAAAAAGCGAUUAAAGGUAGUAUCUUGGAUGACCAUUUGGCUCACCAACCUAUUGAUGAUUAUCAGUCAGUAUAAUUUGAUUUCCUUGACAAAGAGAUUUUGUAUUUGAAGAUGAAAGAUUGUUAUGAAUAAUUGCUUGAAGAAGAGCCAAAAUCUGGUUCCCGUUGGGGCAUGGUAUUUGAUGGAGUUGUUAAUUCUUAUGGUAAUGGCAUUGGGGGUAGUGAUUAUUACUCCUCAAGGCACUCAUUUUCCAUUUACAACUAGAUUGACCUUCAAAUGUAUGAAUAAUAUGGGUGAGUAUGAAGCUUGCAUUAUGGGGCUCAAAGAAUCCAUUGAUCUUAGGAUCAAAUAUCUUGACGUCUAUGGAUAUUCAGCUUUGGUGGUUAACCAUAUCAAAGGUGAAUGGGAGAUGAAUCAACCCGGUUUGAUACCGUAUAGAUAUUAUGUGAGGAGGAUAUCAACUUUUUUUACAAAGGUUGAGUUUUAUCAUAUCCCUCGAGAUGAAAACCGGAUGGAAGAUGCUCUUGCAACAUUGGCUUCCAUGAUUAUGGUGAAGUAUUGGAAUGAAGUUCCCAAUUUGACUGUGAUGCAUCUUGAUAGGCCAGCUAAUGUGUUUGCUAUUGAAGAAAUCAAAGAUGAUAAGCCAUGGUAUUAUGAUAUCAAAUGUUUCCACCAAAGUCAGAUUUUCCCGCCUGGGGCAUCUUUGAAAGAUAAGAAGACUUUGAGAAUAUUAGCUGGCAACUUCUACCUUAAUGGUGAUGUGUUUUAUAAGAGAAACUUCGACAUGGUUUUGCUCAGAUGCGUGGAUAAACACGAAGCAUACCUAUUGAUGAAAAAAGUCCAUGAAGGUUCCUUUAGUACUCAUUCCAAUGGACAUGCUAUGGCAAAGAAGAUGCUGAGAGCAUGUUGCUUGGAAAGUCAUUUUUUAUGGUGAAAGAUUAUAGGUCAUUUUUUAUGUGCUCUAGAUAGGAGGUCAACUUCCAAGAACCAUAACUUGCUCAAUUUUUAUAAUAUGAAGAUGAUCCAAGUUUCAUGAUCAAAUUCAAGAUGUCUUCUUCAACUUUGAUUCUUUGAGAAAGGUCAAAUUCCACUUGCAAGGGCAUGUGCCAUGGAGAAACAUUAUAGGUCUAUUUGGGUCCUUAUCAUUGAACAAACAAUUUUCCUCAACUUCUAAGAUCCAUAACUCCAUCAUGCAAGAUCCAAAUGGUGUUGAAUUUGUGACCAAAUUUAACAUAGUUGAAAGCGGUACAACUUUGUAGAAGGAACCAAAGUCAUUUGAAGCUCAUAGCAAAAGUUAUUCAAGGUGGAAAAAGGGGUCAUUUUACUUUUAACUUAGAAAAUUUCCAAGUAUGUUUGAUUCCUCCAACUUCAAGGUCAAAAUUCAUCAUGUUCUAAGCUUCAACUGGAAAAAGUACCAACAUCAAAGUUGUACCCCAUGAUGCUAGAUUUCCAAAGAGACCAAGAUCAUUCCGUUUGGACAAGAAUUGAGGGACUUGCACAUGGUUUCUUUACAUGGCCCAAUUUGGCAACUUUUGAACUAAAAUAUUACAAACCUUUGCAUGGCUUCAUGUUAUGAUCUCAGCAUCAUCUGUUCACGAAUUUGGACUGAUUGCAAUGAUCAUUUGGGUGUAAACACAUGCCCAUGCACCCAUCCAUAUGAUUUUCUAUUUUUGGAUUCAAAUUUGAAAGGUGUAUAAAUUAUAUUGCAUUGCCUAUAAAUUGAACUCCAUAGCCUCAGAAUUGAGGGGAACCCUUGGCCAAGAUGUACAAAUCAAUCUCAGAACCCCAUUUCAUAGAAUACCUUGAAGAUUUCAUUGAAAUCGAUCUUCUAGUUCAACUUUUGUUUCUGAACUAGAACUACAAGGAUCCACAUCCCUUUUGAUUCUGAUCAUCUCCUGCAAGCAUGAGGAAGCAAGACCAAGUGGAAUUGCAUCAAGAUCGAGCUUCAAAACCACUGUCCAAAGGUGAAUUUUCCAGAACUUUAACUCUUCAAUUCUCUCUCAUUUCUUAAUAUUUUGGCUUGUUUUGUGGUCUCCUGAAGCCCUACCAAUGUAGGCAUUGAUAUUGAGUUGCUUUGAGGUUGAACCGAACCAACUCAAUUUUGGAACCUCAAUUUUCAACUCCACAUUUCUCAUUAUAGAGUGAGAGUUGGAAAAAUUGGAGGUCAUAUUUGGAACCCUCAUGAUUUUCUCUUCAAGUUGAUGUAUGAUCCAUUUAUUUUGGUGCCGUUUUUGUUGGACCAAUCUAGUGAGUGUGGCCGGAGAAGAUGACCUGAGCUAGGGUUCCGGUGGUGCGCUAGUGCAGUCCCGGUCAUCUGAUCCAGUGACCAUAUUCUAAUCUGGUCCCUUGAUUGUGAAUACCACUUGUACAUGGGCGUUGACUGAUGACCAUGGUAGAUGAUACGCGCUUGGCCAUCAGAUCUGUCACCUCAAUUAAAGAGGGAAUUCUGAUGACCCUUAUUUUUUCUGAUUUAAUUAAUUUUCCAAUUUAAUUUUUAAAAUAAAAUUUUCUCAUUUAAUUCACUAUAAUUUUAAUCCAAAAAUUAUGGGACUUUCACCAAAAUUUCCCAAAUAAAUUCCUCUUCCAAUUUCUGAAUUAAAAUUAAUUUUUGGAUUGAGUUUGAUAUUUUUGGUGAACUUUUUUAUUUUUGACUUGUUUUUAAUUUAUUUAAAUACUUCUGAUUUUUUAAAAAUGUCAAAAAAAUUAGUCAAAGGUCCUUUUACCUUGCUUGACCUAUGAUAAAUCUCUUGGCCAUUUCUUUGGUGAUUUGAAGGGAUUUGAGGUUUUUCCCCUUUUAAAAUGCAUUUUUCUUCAUUUAAAAAUUGAUUUAAAUUGUUUUAAUUGCUUUAAUAUUUUAUUGAGCUAUUUUAUUGACUUUGUGUUAACUCAACUUCUGUUUGGCCUUGAUCUUGGUUGAAUUGUACAUUAAUUUGAUCAAUACCAUUGGAUUUAGCGGGUUAAUGAAGUUUGAACUUCAUCCUUCAAAAUGAAUGGAUGGUAUUGAUCAAAUGAAGUUCAUCCCUUGAUCAAUUUGGGUUCCCUUUCACUUCAUCUCUUUAUGUUCACCCCUUUUAUUUCCCUAUCCUUCAUUGGCCAAUGAUUUCUCGUCGAUGAAAUGCUAGUUUAUUCAUCAAUGACCUUGUGUCAGAUGAAUCAACAUGAGCUUGAUUGAGAUAGGUCUAUCCCUCUUAUUUUUGUGUGUGGCAUGCUUUAGGAGCUUGGUCUUGAUACCUUGGCUAAUGUCAUUCAUCUGAUACAAGCUAGAGCAAUUCUUUUUGGCUUUAUCUGAUACACUUUGUCUUUGUGCUUAAGAGGUUAUUUUGAUCUUAUUGUUUCUAUCUAAUGCUUUCUCUGUAAGCAUGUUUCAAGGAAUAUUUCAUCGGAUACUUCUCAAGGACAUUGAAGACUGCUUGCUUGGGGGUGCUUGCUUGGAUGUUUGGUUAUAUUUAUUUGAUGCCAUUGGUCUUCUUAUUAUUUGGUUGGAUUAUUAUGCUUUGUUGCUUGCUUGAAAAUCUAAAGGAAAUGGGUUUUUAUAUGACACUUUUGUCUUGUGGGUGCUUCCCAUUGGUUAGAUCUUUUCAAUUCUAAACUUUUAAAUCUUUUCUAGGAUAAUCCCUUCAUCUCCUCCUCCUUCUUAAAUUUCAAAAUCUCUCCCUCAUUUUCAAAACUUCUUUGCUUGUGAUUUUCAACUUAGACUUGUUUUAUUGAGUACAGACCUUGGCCUUAUGCCAUUGAUUUUCAAAAUAAUUUCUUAAUCAAACUUGUAAAUGAACUUAAUCAAAUUGACAUUAUUUUCAAAAAGACAAAAAAUAACUAACAACCUCAUCUAAUUAUUUUGGCCGCUAUGUGCCUUUUUCUUUUAACCUUUUUCAAAAGAGAGCAUUUAUAUUUGAGUUAUCUUUGGUUGAGAUAUGAUUCUCCAAUUCCAUGAUAUAUUGAUUGUAAAACUCUCCAUUUAUUAGGGGUUAGUGGCAUACUUGUUGAUUGAAUCCAAGUUGGAGUCUUCCCUCUUAAAUGUUGAAAAGCCCUCAUUAUCGGUGGAUGUUUGGUUGAGUAUUCUCCCAUUUAUAACAAAAGAUCUUUAAGCUUUUGUUAAAAUCAAUCCACCUAUCUUUGAAACUUUUACUACGAACUACGAGGUUUUUAUCUCUCAUUUUUAUGUUGGUAUGUAGGUAUAAGACGAAAGAUCUUGUCAAAUACAAAAUGUAAAUAAUGAAUUCUUUUCUUAUCCACUCAUUCUACUUUUUAGCAAACAUCUUUUUCAACUAAAACACUUGCACACAAAAAGGGCUCCCUAGGAGUACCUAUGACACUUUGGGUGCUAAUACCUUCCCUCUGUGUAACCAACCCCCUUACCUGUAAUCUCUGACAUUUUUUUAGUUUUGAUUUGAAAACUUAUUAUCUUUGGGUUUUGUUCGUACUUUUCCCUUUUCCUUUGGAAACAAUAAAAGCGCGGUGGUGACUCUGGUUUUAUUGACGUUGAGCUAACCCAUAGCUCAGUGGUCAUGAAUUUACCGCUACACCUACUUUUUGUUUUAUUUCUUUUGCAUUUUUUAAAUCAAAUUAAAAUGUCUUUUUUUUAUGAUUUUGUUAGCAUUUAGUUCUUGCUAUUUAAUUCAUUUGUAAUUUUAUUUUUCCACUUAUGUUUCGAGUUCGAUCAUUGUAAUUAUGCAAUUUUAUAGAUUAAAUAAAGUGUGAUAUACGUGUGAAUUUUUAUCUAUUUUCUUUGGUUUAAUUUCAUUGCUAAACAUCGGAUUUUUAAUCAGUGGUUUUGACAUUUCCCAUGUAGUUAUGUCGCCGAUUUUCAUUGAUUGUAUUUCGCCGCGUUAUGACCCUUUGCAUACGAUAUCCCAUUUACUGUUUAUACGCACAAACCAACUUUGAGCAUAUUACGUAGUGUUUUGCUUUCACUUUUGAAUUUCCAUUAUGCCUUGCACGUCCUUGCGUUGUGUGACAUUGAUUCGCAUCCCCGAACCACGAUCUUAAUCCGUGCACACUUCAUUUCUACUUCUUUCGAUUUAAUUACUAUGAACGUGUGUUAUACAUAUGAUGUUGUGUUGCUAUCUUCGAUUCACAUGACUUACUCUUGGUCCUUCUUACAAUGAGACCGUUUCCUUGUGCACAUGCACUCAUUUACUUACGUUUGUUGAUUGGGUUUCGAUUUAAUUGUUUCAUUAUCUCAUAACCCCAUUUGACAAAAUGCACCCCCAUUCUUAUUACGUGUAAUGAUUUUAUCACUUUAUUUAUUAUUUGUUUGUUUAGUUUAGUUUCUAACACAAGAUUAAAAUCAACCAUUUCUCAAAAAGGAACAAAAAUAAAUAAUCUUUCCAACGUCGAGUAUUUUCUCAAAUCAAAUCGUUUCAAACCCUUCUUAUCCCAAUCCAUUUAUAUCCUUUCCAAACUUUCAAACCUUUCAUUCAAACUUUUGAAAUCGAUCAUCAAAUGUUUGAUCCAACGUCAAGCCAUUUUCAAAAUGAAAACAAAAAAAAAUACUUAAUAUUUAUCGAACACUUUUUAAUAAAGAUGAAAACGGAACAUGUUGGAUACCACGAGCUUCUGAGACUAAGAUUCGAGACGGAUAUCUCUCCCAUCUUAGCUCUCACAAUCAUUCAAAAUUGUCAACACGGUUUCUUCAAACCUUUUCUCAAUCAAAUAUCAAAACAUCUAAGAGAUAUAAAAUACUUUUGCAAAUAAGAUAGAAAUGGAACACAGUGGAUGCGAUGAGCUCCUGAGGCUAGGUUUCAAGAUGGAUAUCUCGCCCAUCCAAGUUCUCUCCAUUACUCAAAACACAGUCCAACUAAUCAAACUCUUUUCUCGCCGCCAUGCGAUUGAUGCUCAAACCCCUUGUUUUAUAAGUGAAAGGUAUUUUGUCUCAAGACGAUGAAAAACAAUAUUUUGUCCACUUGAACAUGUGAGUAAGCUUGCGACGUUGCCCGUGAAUGUUGAUUUGUAAAUCGAUUAGGUCAUGAUGCAAAUGUUCCUUUCUCCACUUGUUUUGGGUAGCCAACAAUGUUUUCAUCAUUGACACAAAGUAGCUUUCGCUAAAAUCGAACAACAAACAAACAUUUUCUACCCAUAACUACAUAAGCCUCGAGUUCUCUAUUGCAUCCAUAGAUGCAUAGGAGCAGGAUUUGUAAAUCUUGUCAGGCCCAUUAACAAAAUUUAGGUUUAGUUCAUUUCUUCGCACAUUAAUAAAAAUCCAAAAACAUUUCCGCUUUUCUUUUGUUUAUAUUCUUCUUUCCCUUCUAAAAACUAGAGAAUCCUAACAUUUCUAAGUUAACACUAACACAUACAACUAACCUUACGGUUUCAGUUGAGUACAACGGACGUGAGGGGUUCUAAUACCUUCCCAUUGUGUAAUCGAAUCUCGAACCCUGAUUUGGUUGUGACGACCAUAAUCAUUGUCGUUCUUUCUUGGGAUUUAUCGAUAUUUACCCUUUCCUUUUUAGGAAUAAACAAAGUUCGGAGGCAUGUUAGCUAGCAAACUUCGACCACGCCGAAGGGAGAAAUCAGGACAGCAGAGAUGCAGUCGAAAAUGGUUCGACGGUCAGGUAGAAACUAAGUUAGGUCAAAGUGAAGUCGAUAAAGGGGGUGAUCCUGUCAAAUUCGAUGUGAAACGUGCCAUGAUGGAUACAAAUCAUUGGAAUCAGAACGUGGGAAGUUACUAGAGACGUGGGUUGAAAGGCUCUGACACAUGACGUAUCAUGAAUGAAUCACAUCCUCCUAGAAGUUAUUUUUUGUUACUAUUUAAGUAGAUGUGAUUUUCAUUUCUUGAGGGGGAAUUUGUAACAUUGCAAUAGGAAAACACUUGAAGUAUCAAGCGUCUAAGAUAAAAGAGUUAACUUCCUCCAAAAUGUACAUCUACUUCCAUAUUUAUUUUCAAACCGUUUAAUUUAUCAAGUUAUUUCAUUUGUUUUGUUCAUUUACGUAUUUAUCUUGCUUUUACCGUUUUACUUUUACUGCACUUUCAUUGCAAACCUUUUACUUAUUGUUCUAUUGUUCCAAACACUUUACCAAUAAACACACCAUAUACUUAACACAUAUUAGUCUAGGACUUUGUAGCUGGUCCUGCAAGUAAACCUCGAUAGGAAGGCUAGAGAUUGCUCGCACGUGGUGAACAAAUUGGCACACCAGGUGGGACACGUUGUGUUUAUUAUAUGCAAUUACAUAGUGGCAAAAUGGUAUUACCGCGUCCAAAUGAAGAAACGUCUUAGGGAGGAGACACAGUUGUGUCGCAAGUGACCGAUGUUGGUUCCAUAUUGUGUUCGAUAUAUGCAACUAUUUAGUGGCAAAAUGGUAUCACCACGUCCAAAUGAAGAAACGUCUUCGGGAGGAGACACAGUUGUGUCGCAAGCAACUGAUGUUAAUUCCGGCACUAUACCUGCGGUUUUGACUGCAUAUAAUGGACAAAUUUCAACACCGCAUCAACCUAAAACUUCAAGGUCGGCAACGAUAGAGACUUCAAGGAAAUACAUGCCCAGUUUUACAGUGUCCACGUAUAGAAUGUUGGGAAUGCCAACUGAUUUUAUGGCAAGUAUGCAUGAUACCAGUUCGACAUUUGGCGAAACUCCAUUGUCUCUAUUUCCAUGCUACUAGGGGUUAGGAUCUUUGGCAAACCAAUUUGGUCGACUCCGGGUCUAGGAUUGUCAUUCAGUCAAUCCCAACUUUCAUGUCAAGUUUCAUCGCAGUCAUUAGACAAUAGAUGGAUGAAAGCAAUCACGAAAUGGUCCACAUGCUGGCUUAGCAAAUGGGUACCAUACUUAGACCUUUAAUUUAGGAUUCAACUCAGAGUUACCAAUAACCGGCAACUCAAAUGACCCAAAUAGGGGAUUUCCUAGGGGCUCCUAGAGCACAAGUUCGUCAGACUCCCCCACCUCGACCUCAACCGGAAACCCAGGUCUGACAUGAGGAGAUGGUAGACAAAACGAUUGAACAAAAAGACCAGGAAGUCGAACCAAUACCUAGGGUGGCUCGAAGGCCUCCCAUUGUAUUAGUUAACAAAAAUCAAGAUCCCGACCAUGUGGUCAGGAAGAUUCGAUAAGAGGCAACGGUUGGGGAGAAGAACUUAUAAGCUAUUAUCGAACGGAUCAUAGUUCAAAAUGGGAUAAACCCGGGCCUAUAAAGGCUGACAUAUUCAUCUCCCUUACCAGAUUUUGUUUUACAAACAAAAUUGCCUAGGGGGUGGAAGGUUCUAAAAUUCACCAAGUUCGCCGGAAACACCAAAGAGUUUACCGUCAAACAUGUUGCCAGAUAUCAAACCGAAGCUGGCGACAUAGCAAAUAAUGAGGAUUUGAAGUUGAAAUAUUUUUCAAGCUCACUUACAAAAAAUGCGUUCACGUGGUUUACAACACUAUCUCCACAAUCCGUCCAAACGUGGACGCAAUUAGAGAGGUUGCUCCAUGAACAUUUUUACAUGGGGCAGUCAAAAAUAAGUCUGAAAGAACUAGCCAACGUCAAACGAAACACUGCUGAGUUAGUCGAUCAGUACCUCAACAACUUUAGACGUUUGAAGGUUAGAUGCUUUACUCAAGUCCUUGAGCACGAAUUAGUCGAAAUAGCCGCAUGGGGUAUAGACUAUUAUAUCAUAAAGAAGUUAGAUACAUAGUAUCUGAGGGAUAUGGCGCAAUUAGUUGAUAGGGUUCGACCUAUCGAACACUUGAAAGUCAAAAAGACCAAAACUAGUUGAUACCAUAAGAAAGAGAAAGUGUCUUAUAUAGCAAUUGAUGAAUACUCUUAUGACGCUGAAGAGUUUUUCGACGAAAGUGAAGUCAACGUGGCUGAACUUAAGCUUGGACCUCCUUAAACAUGUAAAGUAUUAAAACCAUCAAACAAUAAAAGUCCUAUCAAAGCAAAAAAAACUGAUAAAUACGUUGCUAAAACUUACAUGUUUGAUGUGUCUAAGUGUGAUGAGAUCUUUGAUUUGUUAGUUAAAGGUGGACAAAUUAUUGUUCCUUAGGGUUUAAAGGACCCCCCUUUAGAACAGAAAAAGAAAAGGGGAUUUUGUAAGUUUCAUAACUUUCUUGGUCAUAAAACUUAUCAAUGUGUUAUUUUCAGGGAUUUGGUGCAAAAGGCUUUGAAAGAAGACAUACUUCAAUUUGGUGAAAGGCCAAAUAUGCAAGUGAACUUUGAUCCUCUAAAGGUUGAAAAAGCCUUAUACUCUGAAACCUUUGAAUGCAUGAUGGUGGAGACUACUGAUGGUAUCAUAGAGUCUUUGGAUGCUGAGUCUUUAGCUGAAUUCUUUGAGGUAUUGAUGGUUGAAACUAUUGAUGGUUUCGACAAGAGGGCUGAAGAUGAACUAAAAGUGGUUUAUCCUCAAGCAGGUGAAGACCUAACAAAUUACCAAGAGAAAUGCAAAGUGAGUGGGUCAAAAGCGGUACUAUGCCCAAGGUGUAACAUUGUAUUCGAGGAGAAAGACGCUGAAAGAUUUGAAGCUGACAAAAAGAAGGAACAAAAAGAAGAGAAGUAUGUCAUCCCCAGAUUUGUGUUUGACAAACGUGGAGCACCAUGCCGAAACGAAGAAUACAUGAGACAAUUCCAGCAGCCUCGACCAAAGACUUCCCUUUCGCCAUCAGAUAUACCACAAGAGAAGUAGGUUGGGUCGAUGAACCAGAAGGGGGACAAGAGGCCGAAGUGGAGAGUGCUCGAUUUGGAAAAAGAGGCAAAACAUCCAGAGAAGAAGGUUGACCAAGUGGUUAUGUGGUUUCUCCUAACUACAAGGGAAAGAACCCCAUGACUAGAACGUAGUGGAGGCGUUACCAACGAAAUAAGAAAGUUGGGAAAGAGGCUCCGACUCUGUAGUUGAAGCUUGUCGAAACCUCUGGGCAGAAAAGGCAACUCCCAAAAGGAGUAUGGACAAAGAAAGGGAAGAUCGUGGCAAAUCAGAAAAUAACCAUGAUUGUUGACUCUGUAGGAAGAAAAGGGAUAUUAUCAUCUCAAGGUAUGAAAUGUUCAUCUCAGGUAAAAAAUGAGAAAGAACCCGAGAACACGCUUUAGUCGAAUGAGGAAGAGCCUGAAUACUCUCCUCAGUUGGAUGAGGAGGAACCUGAGUAUUAUCCUCAGUCCGAUGAAGAGUUUGAUGAGGAUAUGUACGACGAUACUAAUGGCGACACUUAUGGUGAAGAUUUCGCUGUUAACUGCGGCAUCGUAUCAGUGUUGCCUGCAGAAUAUGAUAUGGUGUCGGAAGUCUCUGAAGCGGAGGAGGACUUCAUGCCACACGAAACUGUUGGAGGUAAGCCAUUAUGCUAUUACGUUAUGAAUAGUGGCGUGGUCGAGGAGCAAAAAGCAAAGUUUGAAAGACCUAGCCUAGGGAUGAUGUACCAUCUGAAACCUUUGUUCAUAAGGGCAAAGGUCGACAGGAUCCAUCAACUUGAUGCCUUACACUUUGUUCAAGAAGAUGGGGAAAUGCGAUGAUGAUCUCCGACAGCAUAAUAUGGUUUUAUCCAACUACGAGGGAAAACUAGUAAUAUACUUCGGGUUAUCCAAGUCGAUCUAGCCUUUGGUAUGAACACGCGAUCGUCACUUUUUAUGGUAAUAAACUCCAGAGCAAAUUUCAAAAUACUCCUAGGACGGGAAUUAAUCCAUGGAAUAAGAGCAGUACCAUCAACUGUACAUCAAAGACUCAUAAUCUGGAGAAAAGAUGACAUCAUUGAAAACGUAGAAGCUGACCAGAGUUAUUACAGGAUCGAUGAGGCCAAGGGCUCGAAGAAAUAUUUCGACCAGCAUUUGGCAAACAUCGCACCUUGUGAUGAUGAAUCAGGGUCCUACACUUCAGUCAACACAGGUCGUGUCCUGAACGUAGAUCUUGACUACGGAUUCAUCUGGGAUGCUAAAGAAUAAAUGGAGCAUGAAAUGGUAAUUCCACUUAUGGGGUGACCUGCACUCGAUAGAGAUGACUACUAAGUCAGAAAGUUUGACUUGAAUUUCAGCCUAUUUGGAUGAGAACAAAAGAAGGUCGGCUCUAGAAGCUGAGAGACUACAAAAUUUGGCUAACGAAGCCAAAAAAUGUUUAGAUGGCCGACAAGGCCAAACAACAGCUUUAGAAAGUCAGAGACUUGAUUGCAUCUAUGACAAUGAGCCUUUGGGGUUUGAGAAAAACCCAUUGAAUGAGUUGCAGAAAAUGCAAGCGCAAGACCCACUCGAAGAGAUUGAUAUAGGAGAUGGAGUCACAAAAAGACCAACAUAUAUAAACAUUAAAGUUGGGUCAAAGAUGAAGGUUAAACUGAUCGAAGUAUUGAAAGAAUAUAGAGACCGUUUUGCCUAGAACUACGGCGAAAUACCUCAUCUAGAUCAAAGUAUGGUGGAACACCGAUUGCCUAUUCAACCAGGAAAAUGGCCAGUAAAGCAACAUCCUCGACAGUUUGCUCCAUAAGUCACAAUAAAGAUUAAGCAGGAGAUCGAAAGACUCCUCAAAAAGCGGUUCAUCAGAACUGCAAGGUAUAUCGAAUGGUUAGCUAAUAUAGUAUAUGUUAUUAAGAAAAAUGGAACUCUCAGAGUCCGUAUAGAUUUUAGAGAUUUAAAGAAUGCUACUCCAAAAGAUGAGUAUUCGAUGCCUAUGACAGAAAUUCUAGUCGAUUCAGUCGCAUGCUUCGAAUACUUGAGUAUGCUUGAUGGUUAUUCUGGUUAUAAUCAAAUUCUCAUAGCGGAAGAUGAUGUUCCCAAGACAGCAUUUCGAUGUCCUGGAGCUUUGGGAACAUACAAAUGGGUUAUGAUGUCGUUUGGUUUAAAAAAAAGCUGGAGCAACUUUUCAAAGAGCCAUGAAUGCCAUAUUCCAUGAUUUUAUUGAAAAAUUUAUGCAGGUAGACAUUGAUGAUAUUGCGAUAAAAUCGUCAUCUGAAGAUGAUCAUCUGUAUCAUCUUCGACGCUCAUUUGAGAGGAUGACAAAAUAUGGAUUGAAAAUGAAUCCAUUAAAAUGUGUUUUUGGUGUACAUGCAGGAGACUUUUUAGGUUUCGUGGUACACAAGAAAGGCAUCAAUAUCAACCAAAACAAAACAAAAGCAAUUUUGGAUCUCAAGCCUUCGUCAACAAAUAAACAUAUCCGAUCUUUGUUAGGGAAGAUAAACUUCUUGAGAAGAUUUAUAUCGAAUCUGUGGCAAGACGAAGGUUUUUUCGCCACUACUCAAGAUCAAUAAGGAAAGUGAUUUUCACUGGGGGCAAGAGCAGUAGGAGUCUUUCGACUCCAGCAAGGAGUACCUCAUAAAGCCUCCCAUUUUAUUACCGCCUAGUAGGAAUAAGAAUACGAGUUUGUAUAUUGCUAUGUUGUAUACGACCAUAGGAAGUAUGUUAGCUCAAGAGGAUGACAGUGGUGUCGAAAGGCACAUAUAUUACCUCACUCGAAUUUUGAUAGAUGUUGAAACUAGGUAUAGUGUGAUUGAAAAUUUGUGCUUGUGCCUAUACUUCUCAUGUAUGAAAUUAAAGAAAUAUAUAAAACCAGUUGAUGUUUAUGUUUCGUCUCAUUGUGAUGUUAUUAAACAUAUGUUGUCUAAACCCAUUCUACAUAGUCGAAUUAGGAAAUGGGCACUAGCAUUAACAAACUUUUCUUUAACAUAUAGACCUUUGAGGGCUAUGAAAGGCCAUAUAAUGGCAUAUUUUAUUGUUGAUCACGCCAUAGUCGAACCUUCACUAAACAUGGUUGACACAAACUCUUGGAGUUUAUACUUUGAUGGGUCAAGUCACAAAAAUGGAAUAGGAGUUGGGAUCUUAAUCUUAUCCCCACAAGACAUUUUGACGAAGUUCAAAUGUAAAGUCCAUGGAAAGUGUUCCAAUAAAGAAGCAGAGUAUGAAGCCCUAAUAAUUGGUCUCAAGAUAUUAAGGGGACUAAGGGGCCAAGAAGUUCGAAAUAAAAGGAGAUUCAAAGGUCUUAGGCAAUAAGUUUCUUGCAAAUUUCGAAAUUUUUGCAAGACAUUAAAUUUUUGCCAUUGACAAUUUGUCGCAAUCAAAUUGGAGAAAACCAAUCAUAGAGUACUUGGAAAAUCCAGUCGGAAUUACUGAUAGGAAAAUCUAGAGCUUUAAGUUAUAUACGCCAGGGAAAGGAGUUGUUGAAGAAAACUCCAGAGGGUGUAUUGCUCAAGUGCCUUGAAGAUAUAGAAGCCUACUUGGCAAUAUCUGAGGUAGACAAUGGAACCUAUGGGGCAUACCAAGCGGGCCAUAAAAUUAAAUGGCUAUUAUUAUGACAAGGUGUUUAUUGGCCAAGUAUGUUAAAAGACUGUAUUGGUUUCACCAAAGGGUGGCAAGAAUGUCAGAUGCACGCAAGCAUCCAAUAUGUACCAGCAAGCUAGUUGCAUGCAAUUAUCAAGCCUUGGCCCUUCAAAGGGUGGGCAUUAGAUGUCACCGCUGAGAUUCGACCAACCUUGUCGAAACAAAAAUAGUUUAUCCUAGUCGGAAUAGACUACUUUACAAAAUGGGUAGACGAUAUCCCUUUGGUAAAAGUGGAUCAAGAGAUUGUGAUCGAAUCCAUUCAAAAACACAUUGUGUAUAGGUUUGGGAUUUCUGAAACCAUUAUUACAAAUUAAGGCUCAAUUUUUAUGGGUCAAAAGAUGCAAGAGUUCGCCGCUGAAACAGGGUUCAAGUUGGUUACUUUCACACCUUACUACGCCCAAGCAAAUGGACAAGUUGAGGCAGCCAACAAAGUGAUAAUUGGUUUAAUCAAAAAACAUGUUGCCAAGAAACCUAAGAAUUGUCACAAAACAUUAGACCAAAAUUUAUGGGCUUGUCGAACAUUCCCAAAAGAGGCAACAAACUCAACGCCUUUUCGUUUGACAUUUGGGCACGAUAUUGUGUUGUCAUCAGAGAUUUGUUUACAAUUAGUUAGGGUGCAACGGCAAAACGACAUCCCGUCGGAACAAUAUUGGAGAUUGAUGUUCGACAAACUGACUGAUUUAGACGAAGAAAGGUUGGCUACAAUAGACGUGUUGAUACGAUAAAAGGAAUGUGUCACCAAAGUAUACAAUAAGAGGAUUAAGACGAAAACCUUUGCAAUAAAUGAUUACGUUUCGAAGGUAAUUUUACCUAUGGAUCGAAGAGAUCAAACUUUAGGAAAAUGGUCACGAAAGUGGGAAGGACCAUUUCAAAUAAUCCAAACGUUUAUGAACAAUGCCUAUAAAAUUCAGGAGCUGGGUAUUGAUCGAAGAAUCUUAAGAGUAAAUGGGAAAUAUUUGAAAACAUAUAAACCUAUGCUACAAGAGAUUCAAAUUAAAAUAUAGUGAAAAUGAUCAAUAAUUGUUAAAGCCAAGAUGGCAUACAAAAUGGUCAGCCAACGCUACAAUUGCCUCGAUAAAAGAAGUAUAUCCAACAGGAAACCUAGACUUAAAGUCUUCAAAAGGGUCUUCUCAUGAACAAUUUUAUUGUCAAGGAGGCUUUUCUUCUCCUGCAGUUGGUUAAUCCUCGCUUUGAUUUCAAGGGUCUUUUCGCUGUGUACAAUCCCUUUAAGAACCUCCUUUUCGAUGACAUCCUGAGUAGGGAGCGGUUCAACUAUAUCCAAAGAGGAUUUUUGUGCUUCGACCUCAAUAAUCCUUUUAGAAAGUUUAGCUAUUUGAGCUUGAUAACACUACGCCAAAAACUGGAAUAGACAGCGCACCUUAGAGGGCGCUUUAUUACAAAAGCGCACUCUAAAGUGAAGCGAAAAAAUAAGAAGCGAACAACUGGAAUAGACAGCGCACUUUAGAGGGCGCUAGAAGGCGCUUUUGUAAUAAAGCGCCCUCUAAGGGAAGCGAAAAAAUAAGGAGGAGAUAGAGGACAACAAUACAGGGCACUUUUUAGAAAGCGCCCUCUAAGUUUACCCUUAGAAGGCGCUUUUAAAAAAAGCGCUCUAUAAGUCAUGUGAAUUUCCAGUUUAUAAAGCGCUUUUGGAAAGCCUUAGAGAGCGCUUUCAUAAGCGCCCUCUUAGGCCCCCUUUAGAGGUUCUUUUUUUCCACAAGCGCCCUCUAAGGUCCCCUUUAGUAAACAUUAAAUUAUAACAUACUGCGCGUUUUGUUAUUUCACUCUCUGUUAUUUCGUUCUUUUUCACGUUAGGUUCUCACUGCUACGAUUUUCGCUAACUUCAUAACUUGUUUCUCUUCUAACGUUCGCUAUUGUUCAUUUUUGGUUUCAUUUUUCUUAGUUCAUACAUUUAUUGAGUAUGCUUUCAAUAUAAUUAUUUGUGUGCAAUGCUAGCAAUGGAGACUAGGCAUUAUGGGUUAAAUUCACCAACUGUUCCAUUUGUUUCUCGAUGUAGAAAAGGAGGCAGCAAUAUCUAAAACACUUCUACCAAUCAAAGUACACUAUGCAGCUUAUGAGUGGUAUUUAUUCUAGCAUACAUAGCGUAGCUAGUAACUUAAGAAGUUUAGGUAUGGAUGUGUAUUUGAUAGAGUAAUUAGAGUCGAUCUAUUCUUCUGUUAGCUUUCAAUUGACCAUUAUACGAUUCUACAUAUAUAUUUUCCUAGUCAAGUUUAUCUUUUGUAAAAACUAUAUGAUGAUAUAUAACUAUGCUACAAUUAGGCAUUACCAACUAAUGCUUAAUGUCAUGGUUCAUACAUUCUCUGAUAUUGAAGUCAGAGAUAUCUGAAAAUGUUGAGAAACCUAACUCAAUAAACCAAAAUGUUUUGGUUUUGGGUUGUUGUUGGAGACAUGAAUGCCCUGCACAGAGGCUAACUCAAUUAAAGCGAAAUUGUUUUGUUCUCAUUUCCCAUUUUUGGUUUCUCUUCUGAAAUUGUUUUUGUUUAUUCUAAUUAAGUAAUGGAUAUAUACAUGGAUGUCUUCCAAUCGAUUAUCGAGAGAGUACGAGAAUGGGGUAUCAGAAUUCGUUAAGUUUGUCGUUGCGCACGCGAAGACCCAGUAGAAGAUAUGUCCUUGCUUGGUUUGUUGUUAUGGGAAACGGGUUGAACGCGUUCAGUUUGACAUCGAUCUAAUGAAGGCAUGGAAUUGAUCGAAGUUAUACAUGUUGGAAUUGCAUGGUGAGAAAAGUAACGAGAAUGUUGAACCGGGGGAUAGUACGACUUAUGCUCAACUAUAGUGGCGCAGAUACAUCGAUUGUGAUCGAGUUGAAGAGAUUGCAGAAGCACUUGAAGGAGAUCUUAAGGAUUGUCCCCCGAAAUGUUUGAGAGGUUGGUAAGUGAUGCAGAGAACCUUUGUAUGAUGGCUGCACUAAAUUCACAGAAUUGUCUCGGUCAUUAAAGUUGAUACAACUUAAAGGCGGGCAAUGGAUGGUCGCGAUAACAGUUUCAAGAGUUAUAGCCUUUGAAGAUAUGCUUCCUGAGGAUAAUGUUCUUCCCAUGACAUAUGAGACAAAAGAUGUUGUGCUCUAUUUGCAUUGAGCUAUGAUAAGAUACAUGCAUGUCACAACGAUUGCGUUUUGUUCGAAAUGAGUAUGCAUCGUUUAAAUGAGUGUCCUAUAAUGCGGUGUCUCGCGAUAUAAGAACAAGUUGUCUCCAACAAAAGUCCUUGUGGUAUUUUCCUGUUAUUCCGGAGAUUUAGACGCAUGUUUCGUAGUGAAUCGAUUCAAGACACUUUGACCUGGCAUGCAGAUGAAAGAUUAUAGAUGGAGAAGUAUCGGACAUCCGACAGAUUCACCACAGUGGUUGAAAAUUGAUAUGAUUAUCCUGAAUUGGGAGAAGAAUCAGAAAACUUCGCUUGGCAUUAUCUACUGAUGGAAUGAACCCACACGGUAUCCAGAGUAUCUCACAACAGUACAUGGCCUGUGAUUAUUUAUGUAUUUAUAACCUACCUCCAUGGCUUGUAUGAAGCGUAAGUACAUGAUUUGUUGUCUAUGUUGAUUUCUGGACCUAAACAACCAGGAAUGACAUAGACGUGUUACUUGAAGCCCUUAAUCGGAGAUUUAAAGAUUUUGUGGGAGACCGGUGUNCGAAUUGCCGUAUUGGAAGUCUUGUAUGUGGACAUUUCUUGAUGUUAUGCAUAUGAAAAAUGUAUUUGAAAGUGUUAUUGGGCACGUUACUCAAUAUACAAGGAGUCUAAGGAUGGCCUUAAGGCAAGAAAGGACUUGAUAGCGAUGGGAAUAAGAAUGAAUUAGGACCUUGAAGAAAGGAAAACGAACAUAUCUACCGCCUGCUGCUUAUACUUCUAUCUAGAAAGGAGAAAAACAUUGUGUAAGUUUCUAGUGAAGUUAAGUUCCAGAGGUACUCUUCAGAUAUUAGAAGACUUGUGUCUAUGAAAGACCUCAAGGUUAAAGAGUUUAAGGACCCAUGAUUGCCAUGUUAAUGGAACAUUUCUCCCAAUAGGCGAUACGUUCUAUUCUUCCAGAAAAAGUAAGAGCUCUAUAACUAAGUUGUGUUCUUUCUUCAAGUCAAUUUGCCAGUAAGGUGAUCGAUCCUGCGAUCUUUACCAAUGUUGCAAAAGAAAUCGUUAUUACUUUGUCGUGAGCUUGAAAUGUUUUUUCCUCCAUCAUUUUUUGACAUAAUGGUACAUCUUAGUUGUUAAUCUUGUGAAACAGAACACAAUUUGUGUGGCCAGCUUAUAUGAGAUGGAUGUACCCUGUUGAACGUUAUAUGAAAAUAGUUAAAACGGGGUAACGUGAAGAACGAAGCGACCAGAAGGUUGUAUGGUUCAAAGAUACAUUGUUGAAGAAGUGAUUGAGUUUUGUACUGAAUAUUUUGUCUAAUGUUCAGUCAAUCGGACUCCCUAAGUCUCAGCUUGUCGAAAAAAAGAGGAAAAUUAAUUGGAAAUAAAAUCGUGGCAGUAUCAAGGGUCGAACGGGGGGAUCAAGUGCAUUUGUAUGUCUGCGCACAAUGAGAAUGAGGUUGAGCCGGUAUGUUAAAUUCACAAGGAUGUUCUCCGAGGUUUAAAUCCCAAUAGAAAUGAAAUUAGAUAGUACGGAGCGACAAUCGAUGUUUUAUACCUUGGUGUUAAGGGAUCAUAUUUAUUCAAAGUAUUAUUCAGAUCCCGCUUCAAUAACAGAAAGGUUGAGAUGCUUAGCAUAUGGUCCAAGUUUCCAUGUUUUUUCUUAUAGCGCAUACGCGAUUAAUGGAUACACAUUUUAUACCAAAGAACAAGAUGAUAAAGUACUAUGCCAGAAUAGUGGUGUCACCGUGGUAGCUGAAGCAAUGCACAUAUCAAGUGUGAAGGACUUAAACCCAAAUUUGCAAAUUUGUCGUAUUUGGUGUUAUCGAGCGCAUUUGGGUGUUUGAUUAUGAGAAGUUUCAGAUUCCUAUAUUGGUUGCAAGUGGGUUGAAAAUAAUACGGCAUUCGAAUGGAUAAGUCAGGAUUUUUGCAAGUGGAUCUUAUAGGGUGGGAUACAAAGAUGAGUCUUUUAUUCUAGCCUCUCAAGCUAGACAAGUGUUCUAUGUCAAUGAUCCGAAGAAGUACGAAAUGGUCUAUAGUUCUUUUUUCCAACAAAGUAAUUGAUGAAAACACUGGAGAUCAAGGUGAUAUUGAUGUUGAGAUUGAAUCGUUUACCAGAAAUGAUCAAGAUGAGAAUAUUAUAUCAAAUGAUUCAUAUAUUAGAAUGAUCAUAAUGAGGGUAUUUGGAUCAAUCCAACCGUCCGUGUUGUUAAGAGACAUGUAGAACAUAUUCCAACCAAGAAAAGAAAGAGAGAACUUAGUGAAAAAGGUACAGGUCAAAUAUUUUAAUUGUUUUCUUUAUUACAGGUAAAAUGGCUUUUAGAUUUUAAUUGUUUUAUAUUUGUCAUCUGAUUUUAAUUGUUUUCUUUUUACAGGUAAAAUGGCUAUUAUGAAGUCAAUCAUUCGUGCAGGGGCAAGGGAUACUUGAAAGUAUCAAUUGAUAUUUGUUUAGAUGGAGAUGUUCCAUUGUCGUCAAGCCUCAUUCGCGUAGAUGAUGAUGCUGGAUAUUUGAAAGUAUCCCUUACGACAAUGGAACAUGUCCAUCUAAACAAAUAUCAAUUCUAUCUUCAAAGAUAAGGGACCAAAAAUAUAAGGGGAUUACGCAGCAAAUCGAGUCAGUUGCAUAAAAAAAGGUAUAAACACAAUUAUAUGAUAUUUAUGCAUAGAAAUGUUAAUUCUUGAUCUUAUACUUCACCUAACUAAUUUUAUGAUAUUUUAGGUCAUGCUAUUGAUAUUGACAAAAAGGGUUGUUGCUAAGAAGACUGCGGCUAGCAAAAAAACAUACAUCUCAGAGAUGCUUUUGCUACUUAGUUUUAUUUCUUUUUAAGUUAUGAAUUGGUUGUAUAUUUAGAAUCUUUAGAAGUUAAACGAUAUUAUAUCAGUGGAUUGUUGUAUAUGUAUGGAUUGUUGUAUAUAAGCUUGUUGAAUGCAAUGUGUGAAAAAGGGCUUCAAAUUAUACAGUUUUAGGUGUACUGCUUCAAUAUACAGGUUGUCUAAAUAAAUAAAAAAAUAUAGCGCUUUUAAAAUAAAUAAAUUAAAUAACCACUCACUUUAGAGGGCGCUUUCCAAAAUAAGCGCCCUCUAAACCCUUUUAAUUCCACUUUUAGAGGGCGCUUCCAGUAAAAGCGCCCUCUAAACCCUUAAAGUUUCCACUUUAGAGGGCGCUUCCAGUAAAAGCGCCUCUAAAUCCUUAAAAGUUUCCAUUUUAGAGGGCGCUUUCUUUAAAAAGUGCCCUCUAAAGUGGCCCUUAAAGGGCUUAAAGAGCCACUUUAGAGAGCGCUUUCACCAAGAAAAAAAGCGCUGUCUUUACCUAUGCCAGCGCCAGAUUAGAGGGCGCUUUAAAGCGCUGUUAUAGGCCAAAAAAAGCGCCCUCUGUUCCCUUAUUUGGCGUAGUGUAAUCUGAGAUUUGUAGAACGAAGACUUGCUGUUUACUGAGCUGUUCCUGUUUCUUGGCCUCAAAAGUUUUUCUCAAAGUCUUCACUAAAAUCUCACUCUAGUCUCGUCUCGUUGAUCUACGUUUUAAUUUGAAAAUCAGCAUUCUAACGAAGAGAGAGAGAGAGAGAGAGAGAGAGAGAGAGAGAUCCUUGAACAGCUGGGUGAAUAAAGCUUUGAACUCAAUCAAAUAUCUGGCAACUGGAGCAGGAAGCUCGUGUAGGGUAAGUUCGUCCAGCAAUUUGAGGAUGUCGCGCGCCAAGGCUUCUUCUUCCUCGAUGACAAUUAAAAUCUCACGCUCAAACAAAUAAUUUUUUAACUAUUUAAGUUGGAGAGUGACAGUAGAAUCCAUUCCUGGAGCAGGUACGACAGUCAGAGGAGAAGGCUGAACAUCAAUCGAUGUUUGACGAAAUUGCUUCAGCUUCCUUAAGGCCUCUGCCGAAUUUUGUCGCUUCAUGGCCAAAACUUAUUCUGGAGCCAGAGUGCUAAAAGAAGUGCUUUCUCCAACAGCUGUUGAAGGGGCCUGAGUUUGCUGAGUAUUAAGAUUUUGUUGAGCCUCAUACGACACGCUCCAGAACUCAUAUUAUCUUUGAGGACUUAAGAGAGUCUCAUCUGGUUGACUUUCGACCCUCACGUCUACUAUAGGCUCAGCAGGAGUUGAAUCAGCCACACGUCCAUAUAACAAAGAAGUCAGGAUCCAUGUCGAAGAAUAAUUCACGAGUUAUCCAAACAAAGGAGGUCAAAUACUUAGGGAGCCACAUGUUGUGGGGAGGCUGGAGUAUUUCUUGUUUGACCUUGGGGUGCAAAGACCUCAGUAAGAUCAUCAAGAACUGAGAUCUUUAUGGUCAAAGAAGCGAUUCUUGAAGAAGGUUUCUUGGUUGGAACUUUCUUUUUUCGGGCCGGAGUAGGUGGAGUAGAUGGUGGCGCCUUUGAUGUGAGAAAAAUGUGUGAAUGCACACUGCCAUCAGAGUCUUCAUUGUUAAUCGAAGGCACCUCUUCAGGAACCUAAGUCACAAGAUACGCGAGAGGGUGACUGAAUGUUAAAACCUUAUGAAACAUUAAGACACGAAGUACCUUUGGUUUCAGAGUCGAGGGAGCCUUUUGUCUUUUUGAAGGUUUGCUAGGGGCUGACGCAGUAGAUGGGACCCUCUUUCGACCCUAAAAGAUAGAAACAAAGAAAAAGAAGUUGUUAUUUUUGCUUCUCGAAGAAGGGAAAAGCAAAAGAAUAAUGGUUACCUUCUUUGUUUGGGCCUCAUCACCAUUGGUAAUUUGGAUUGUUAUGUCGAGAGCGUCAGUAGUCGGAGGUGGAGUAGGCAUUUUGCCAAUGAGAUUGGAGAAAGCAUCGAUCAUGUAUAGAAGAAAAAACGCACUUGGAAAACAUUGACGUUGGUAGUCGGACCACCACUCGUCGAAGUCUUUGGUUGUCUAGAAGGAGUGUUGGAUUUUGAAAACUGGUAAUUUGAGGCGCUGAGUAGACUUGUGAAAUCUAAGGCAAGCUUUAUGGCCUUCAGCAUUCAGUGGCCGACCAGCCCAUACGAUGUCAUUCGAAUGUGACACCAAAGACUUUGGUAACAUCUGGCUAAGGCCAAAUUGGCGAGCCACCAAGUUGGGUUGGUAGCUCAUAAAACCAUAUACUUUCGACCCUGCCUCUAUCCUGAAGAACAUCAGCGUAGGUGUCAAAAAUGCCUCCUCACAGCACUCGACUGUGCUGCAACUUGAGGGGAAUUGUCAGGAAAAGGAUUUUUAAACCAUUUUGAGCUAAAGCUUUGAUCCACAAAUGGGGCCAUACCUGGAACAAAGGAAUUGUCCUCGAUAAACAUGCUGAGAUACUUCAAAAAGAGGUGUUUGUUGAGAGGUUCCUGACAUGUCAUUAAGGAGAGCCUUACGCCUUCGACUGGUUGAUCCUCGUUCAAAUGCAUUAUGCACUCUGCCACCGGAUAGCCCAACUGGUACUUGAAGGUAACGUUUAACCAAUGUUGCAGCAGCCACAUAGGGCCAGACAAGUUCAGGGCCUUUGGAAUAGAAUGGAGAUAUUUCAAUUUUAGGGUUGCAAGCCCUAGAGAACGAUACAUGGAAGCUAGCAAAAGCUUACCUAGAGAAGCCUGUCGACCUUCGUGGAUUUGGAUCACCAGGCUUAUGUAACUCUUGACUAUUUGUAAAGAGCCAGGACAGAAGACAUAGUAUGAAAGAAAAAGGGUUAGAAAAGCAAUAUGCUCUUCAUCAGAUACUUCGGAAAAUUUUUGAUCAUGGUGGUCUUCGAUAUAAUUUUGAAGGCUGGCGUGACUGAACGAAAAGGUGGCUUCUAUCGGAAGCGUAUGGUCAAAAUUUUCACCAAGAGGUGAUAAACCUGUAAUAGCUUCCACGUCAAAAAAAGUUGGCGUUAACAUACCACAGGGAAGCUGGAAGAUAUUGGUUGAACCCUUCCAAAAAUACAUCAAAGCCAGCAACAUGCAUGGGUUGUUUCAAUGGGCGUCCCUCGCGAUCUGGAUAGCGUCGAAGAUACCAACACUUCUCCAUUGGUCUUGGCGUUUGCAUUGAACUUUGUUAAGCCAAGCCACAUACUUCUUAUUUUCAGGUGUAGGCAUCGACCUAAAAACUCUAGCGUUUGGGUCCAUGAACUUUACGUCGAUGGUACUGUCCUUUUCAAAAGCUGGAGGGAGAGCAGGAGUAAAACCAGGAAAAUGGGAUUGAACAUUUUUUGGUUGAGUUUUGGUGUCGGGAUAAGACCCAUGGGAGGCAAUGAGUUUCUCAGCAACGAAAAAUGGAAUGAGCAUUUGGAAUUUCCAAAUUUUCACCACAGCCUCAUCAAUGGAUGUGGGUUGAGGAAUAGGUUUCAUGCUUUCUGCUUCAGUAAGUUGAAACGCAAUGGUAUUGUUGCCAGUAUUGAAGGUUGCUACGUCCUUGGUGUGAGUAGAGGAAGCCAUUGCAGUGAAAGAAUGAGAAAAAUGAGGAGAGUAAUAUUGCUUUGAAGAAUUGUAGAAAAAAUGCACAUAUGAAGAAGCAGGAAGAAAAAUAUUGAACAUGAAAAAGUGGUAUUUAUAGGCAAACAGAAUGACAACCAAGGGUCAGUCGAUUGGCGAUAACUUUCCGACUAAGUGGUAGUGGGAAAGUUAGUAGCGUUAGUUGAAAGCCAACGACUUAUGAAGUAACUUCUAAUGAUGACAUUUUUUUGGGAAAUCGUGACGCGGAAAAAAACAUCAUUGCGCAGAGCAUCAUUAACGAUUAGACAUCCAGCCCAAAUUUGGAAAGUCAAAACACCAAGUUUCUCGAUCGAAGCGUCUCUCGGUAGAAAUCGGCCUUUUAGGGGGGCAAUUUGUUAGUUGGCAAAUUUCAACCAUGCCGAAGGGAGAAGUCAUGACAACAGAUAUGCGGUCGAAAGCGGUUCGACGGUCAGGUAGAAGCUAAGCCAGGUCGAAGUGAAGUUGACGAAGGGGGUGAUCCUGUCGAAGUCGAAGUGAAACGUGUCGUGAUGGAUACAAAUCAUUGGAAGAAGAACAUGGAAAGUUACUAGAGACAUGGGUUGAUAGGAUCUGACAUGUGGCAUAUCAUGAAUGGAUCACAACCUCCUAGUAGUUAUUUUUUGUUACUAUUUAAGUAUAUGUGAUUUUCAUUUCUUGAGGGGGAAUUUGUAACAUUACAAUAGGAAAACACUUGAAGUAUCAAGCAUCUAAGAGAAAAGAGUUAACUUCCUGCAAAAUGUACACCUGCUUCCACAUUUAUUUUCGAACCAUUUAACUUAUCAAGUUAUUUCAUUUACGUCUUUAUCUUGCUUUUACCCUUUUACUUUUACCGCACUUUCAUUGCAAACCUUUUACUUAUUAUUCUAUUGUUCCAAACACUUUACCAACAAACACGCCAUAUACUCAACACAUAUUAGUCUAGGACUUUGUAGCCAGUACUGCAAGUAAACCUCGAUAGGAAGGUUAAAGAUUGUUCGCACGUGGCGAACACGGCGACUCUGUUUAGUCCAUCCUGCGAGCGUGCGGUUGCGCUUUGCUAGGUCAUGUUCUCACUUUUCGAGGUGCGACAACACGUAUACGCAUUUUUUUAUUUCUUGACUAGUAUGAGAAUUGGCUUCCAUUUCCCUUAUGGGGCUUAUGUCUUAUCCAGUGAUUGUUUCUAAAUGCACAAGUUCACAUAAUGAAAUUCUUGCAUGUGGAAAAAUAGUGGUAGGCUAUCUCAUGAGUUAUGUUGAGCAUCUUCUUCUUGGACCAUGAAAAUAGAUUUAUGUUGGGUUAUCCCAUAUUUGCUUCCACUUGAUAGAGUAACAUGUUACAUGUUCAAGGUUAUGUAAAUCCUCAGAGAUGGAGAAUCUAUUAGGAAGACUCUUAACUUAAUUGUCUCAUGCAAUUAUUUUAUGUUUUAAUACUCUUUGUUUACCCCAAAUAUUUUUCAGGAGGAUCUUUAAGAAAUCAUUGAUGUUCCUGAUAGAUGGUAACUCUCUAAGACUGUCUCUCUAAGUUGCCAGCUUAUGGAAAUACUAUAAGAAUUGACGUAGAGUGGAAAUGAUAGAGGAUUUUUAGGAGAUUCUUUAAGAAAUUAUUAAGAAUAUUUGUAUAUAUAAUAGUCUCACAUCUACUAUAUCAUGUUAUUAGAUGUAACAUCUCUGUAUAAUACAGUCUCUACAGUGCCUUUUAAACACAUAUGUUUAUUCAAACAUUUCUCACUCUCUUAUACUUCAAUAAGUUGAAUCGCAACAAGCUCUAGAUAUCAUAUUGAAGUAUAAGAGAGUUAGAGACGUUUGAAUAAACUUUGUGUUUAAAAGGCACUACGGUGACUGUAUUAUAUAAAGAGGGAUUACAGUUAAUUAUAUGUUAUAGUAGACGUGAAACUCGUAACAGAAACCAUUGAUGUUCCCCACAUAUGAUAACUCUAUACAUUGCUCGAUUUCGGAAAUACCAUAAGACUGGGUGUAGAGUGGAAAUGUUAUAGGAUGUUUCCCACAUCGCCAUAUGAUCCUAAAGCAUAUUUUCUUCACUUGUAGUUAGUGAAUGAGGAUUUGACAAUAAACUCUGAAAUUGUCUUUUGCUUUGACCCGAAUAUGAGAAGUGUACAACACCAAUUUGAAAACUCAAGUUAGCGAGGUUUUAUAUUAAAAUAUUGUGUACUAGUAAGUGAUUUACCUCUUCACUUUUAUAGUAGGUCCUUAUGAUUUAAGGUCCUAAAACCUGAUAAGUCUUUAGUCAAAUAAGAGUCCUAGUUUUUAGGAUAGUUUGUUGAAUUGAUUUAGUCAAGUUUGUUUCCUUAUUUCUAGCUAGAAGUAGGUUGUAGUUUGUUACUGCACGUUCACUUUGUUCCCUAUUCAUUUUACUGUAUUUCACAAGGAAUAAACAAGUCAUUCCCAGUACUGUUAGUUGUUUUCUAUUGAACUCUUGUUGCAUCUAACAAUCUGGCAUCAGAGCGUGACUUGAGAAAGAUGGGUUCAGAAGCAAACUUUGUUUCAGCGUCCAUUCCAAAGUUCGACGGUGACUACGAUCAUUGGAGCAUGGUCAUGGAGAAUCUUCUUUGGUCCAAGGAGUACUGGGUUGUUUUCGAAUCGGGCUACAACCAGCCUACGAGUAUGGAUGGGAUGACGCCGACACAAAAACAGAACCUAGAGGAGAUGAAGCUGUAGGAUUUGAAAGCUAAGAAUUACUUGUUCCAGACACUUGACAAGUCAAUUAUGAAGACGAUUACGCAGAAGGAGACAUCCAAACAACUAUAGGAUUCCAUGAAGAUGAAAUGUCAAGGUAAUAUUCGAGUAAAGAGAGCUCAACUCAAUCGUCUACACUGGGACUUUGAGGUUCUGGCAAUGAAUCAGGGUGAAUCAAUAAAUGAUUACUUUGGUCGAGUAAUGAAGGUUGCAAAUGACAUGAGGAAUCAUGGGGAAGAUGUGAGUGAUGUCAAGAUCGUUGAGAAGAUUUUGAGAACACUUACUGAUAAAUGGAAAUACAUUUUUUGUUCCAUUGAGGAAGCCAAGGACAUAUAUCAACUCUCUGCGGAUGCCUUGCAAAGUUCUCUACUCGUUCACGAGCAAAAAUUCCAAGAAGAUGGAGGAUAAGAACAUGCUUGGAAAGUGACUCAUGAAGAGGGCUAUGGUGGAAGAGAACGAGGAAAAUCUGCUUUCAGAGGAGGCCGAGGACAAGGUAGAGGUAGGGUCACCUAAACUGGAGCAAAGAUACGGUUGAGUGUUAUAAGUGUCAUAAGCUUGGACACUUUUAGUAUGAGUUCUAAGAAAAUUAUGCAAAUUUGGAUGAAUCGGAAGAAAUAAUGCUAAUGGCAUAUACCGAUACGCUUGGAGGUGAUCGAGAUGAGGUAUGGUUUAUUGACUCUGGAUGUAGCAAUCACAUGUGUGGUGAUUCAUCUCUCUUUUGUGAUUUAGAAAAGGGGUUCAACAAGGUGGUAAGAUUGGGGAAUUAUGCAAGCAUGAAUGUUGUUGGAAAGGGAAGUGUUCAAUUGACUGUAAAAGAAGUGAAUCACCUUGUACGAGAUGUGUAUUAUGUACCAGGAUUGAAGAAUAAUCUUCUCAGUGUUGGGCAGCUGCAAGAAAGGGGUUUGGUUGUACUGAUGCAGUCAAAUAUGUGCCAGAUUUAUCACCAUACAAAGGGAUUGAUUUUCGAAACCACCAUGGCUGCCAAUCGAAUAUUUGUGUUGCUAUCGAAUACUCGAUCCGUUAAAAAGGAAAGAGAUGAAAAGUGUCUCCAAGUAAUCACUCAAGACGUGGCUCAUUUAUGGCAUCAAAGAUUCAGUCAUCUCAGCUACAAAGGAUUGAAGACUUUGCAAACAAAGGGCAUGAUGAGAGGCUUUCCAAGUUUUUUCGAGGGUGAGAUUACGUGUAGUGAUUGUUUGAAAGGGAAACAACAUAGAUAUGUAAUUCCAAAGAAAAGUACAUGGAGAGCAUCACCAAAGUUGGAGCUCGUUCGCGCUGAUAUUUGUGGCCCAAUAUCUCCAGUUUCAGAGGGCAACAAGAGGUAUUUUAUUUGCUUCAUUGAUGAAUAUAGUAGGAAGGCAUGUGUGUAUUUUAUUGAUUUUAAGUCAGAUGCAUUCACUUACUUUAAGUUAUUUAAAGCUCUUGUCAAAAAAGAAACUGGUUUGCCCACUAAAUGUCUCAAAACAGAUCGUGGGGGUGAAUUCACAUCAAAUGAGUUCAAAGAAUAUUGGGAAACGAAUGGGAUCAAGAGGCAAUUAACUGCUGCAUAUACACCAUAGUAGAAUGGAGUUGCUGAGCGGAAAAAUAGAACCGUGAUGAAUAUGGUGAGGAGUUUAUUGGUUGAGAAGAAUGUUCUAAGAAAACUCUAGGAAGAAGCAGUGAAUUGGGCAUUUUAUGUUCUUAUUAGAUGCCUGACAUCAUCAGUGAAAGAAAUGACGCCAGAAGAAGCAUGGUGUAAGGUGAAACCUUUAGUCAAGCACUUGAGAGUGUUUGGUUGUAUAGCACAUGCUCAUGUACCGGAUGCUCGGAGAAUAAAGCUUGAGGAUAAGAGCCAUUAUUGUGUUCUUUUAGGGGUAAGAGAAGAAUCAAAGGCAUAUAGGCUAUAUAAUCCUAUCUCUAAGAGGAUUAUAAUUAGUCGGGAUGUCAUCUUCGAAGAAGAAGAAUAAUAGAACUGGGAGAGGGCUUUGAAGAUGAUAGAAGGUUUGAUCUGGAAUGGGAAGAUGGAAACGGUGAAGAGGUGGAGGAUUCCGAUGAUGGUAGUGAAGAAGAAAACGUAGCUUCUCCGGUGAAGGACGAAUCUAGUGAUGGAAAUGAAGAAGAUGAAGUGGCUCCUCCGAUGACACCCCGAGUUAGAAGAUCACCAACAUAUUUAAAUGAUUCUGUCUCUGGUGAUGGUCUUUCAGAUGAAGGGGAAGAGGUACAAACUCACUUAGCCUUGUUUGCUAGUGUUGUUCAUUCUGAUCCAAUUUCGUUUGAUGCAGCGGUAAAGACGGAGAAAUGGAUAACAACCAUGGAUGCCGAAAUGAGAUCAAUUGGGAAGAAUGAAACAUGGGAUCUUAUAGAGCUUCCUAAAGGAGCUAAAAGAAUAGGAGUCAAAUGGGUGUACAAAACAAAAUUGAAUGAGCUCGGAGAAGUGGAUAAACACAAGGCUCGCUUGGUCGUAAAAGGGUAUGCUCAGGAAUACAGAGUUGAUUAUGAAGAAGUAUAUGCUCCCGUAACUCGCAUGGACACGGUUCGAAUGAUUUUAAGACUUGCAGCACAAAGCAGAUGGUGUGUGUUUUAGCUGGACGUGAAAUCGACUUUCCUUCACGGGAAGUUAAUUGAGAAUGUGUACAUGGAGUAGCCAAGAGGUUUUGAAAUAAAGAAUAAGGAACAUAAGGUGUACAAGCUCAACAAAGCUUUGUACGGACUCAAGCAGGAACCACGAGCAUGGUUCAGCCAUAUUGAAUCAUAUUUCAGAAAGGAAGGUUUUGGGAAGGAGGACAACGAGCAAACUUUGUUUACCAAAGUCAAUAAACAAGGUAAACAUUUAAUCAUUAUCUUGUAUGUUGAUGAUUUAAUUUAUACAGGAGAUGAUGAGAAUAUGAUGGUUGAAUCAAAGAGUCCAUGAUGAAGGAAUUUGAUAUAACGGACCUGGGUAAGAUGAAGUAUUUUCUUGGUAUUGAGGUAGUUCAGUUUGAUGAUGGUAUAUUCAUCAGUUAGGUGAAGUACGUGAUGGAAGUGUUGAGACAUUUUGGAAUGGAGCAUAGCAAUUCCGUUGAAAAUCCAAUGGUUCCAGGAUUCAAAAUCUCCAAAUAUGAAAAGGGUAUUGAGAUGGAUGGUUCAUUCUUCAAGCAACUUAUUGGGAGCAUGAUGUACUUGACCGCUACGAGACCGAAUAUAAUGUAUUUUGUAAGCUUAUUAAGCAGGUAUAUGUCAAAGCCUACAAAACUUCAUCAUUCGGCAGCCAAGAGAAUUCUACGUUACUUGCAAGGUACAAAAAUGUUUGGCAUUCUUUACAGCAGGGGAGGAAGUCAUGAGUUGAUUGGUUUUACUGACAGCGAUUCUAUCGGAUCAGUGGAAGAUAGAAGAAGCACCUCAUGCUAUGUUUUUAUGCUAAGUGGAACAGUUGUGACUUGGUCUUCUCAAAAGCAAUUGAUCGUAACACAAAGCACAGUCGAAGCUGAAUUCAUUGCAACUACAGGAAGUAGUUGUCAAACAAUAUGGAUGCAAAGGGUGCUAAAGAAGAUUGGCUACAUGGGCAGUGAGAGUAUUAUCAUCUUUUGUGACAAUAACUCAACAAUUAAGUUGGCGAGGAAUACGAUGAUGCACGACAGGAGCAAACACAUUGAUGUGCAAUACCAUUUCUUACGAGAGCUAGUGAAUGAUGGAGUUGUGCAGCUUCAGUUUUGUGGUACAAGACAGGAGAUAGCCUACAUUUUCACCAAACUGCUCAAAUUGGAGCUAUUUCAGGAGAAAAGAAGGAGGCUUGUAGUGUGUGAACUACCACAUGUUAACUAGCUGCAAAUGCAGUUGAUCAGUGCAUUUGGAUUCACAUUCUUCUAUAAUUGUACUUAGACAUUUAUAUACUUUAUUUUGCUUAUUUUACUAUUUUAUUAUUUUUUUAGAUUUAAGUUCAUGAUUGCCUUUAAUCUAUUUUUGUUUGCUAUUUUCAGUUUUAGCGGUUAUUUGAUACCUAAUCACUAUUCGGAUCAUAACUUGAGCUACAGGAUGUCGUUUUAUGCGUUAUGAUAUGCGUUGGAAAGCUGAGAGAAAGAGCUACAACGUUUGUGUUGAAUCCAAAAUAUGAUUUGGAGUGCAGAAGUCACAAAUAAUUCGUUGGAGUUUCGUACUUUAGGAAAUAAUUUCUUUUGGGUCAUUUGUUGGGCCAAAUUUAGGUUUUCCGGCCCAGUUUGAAUUAUAAAUGCAACCUUUAUUUUGUUUAAAAGGAGAAGCCGCAGUACUGUAGAAAACACACCUUAUUCACCAUAAAUUUUUGUUUUGUGCGAUCAUGAAGAGGAACUAAUCUUCUAGAGUCAAUCUGCUGUAACCGAAUUUCCAAGGCUUUGAGGUUUCUAUCCUAUCAAUUUAAUUCCGUUUCUCUUUCAAUUCUAUUCUAUGAAAAUUCAUUUGCUUAAUCUGUAUUUUAUGGAAUGGUUUUGAUUAAAUUCGUAUGAUUGCAUUCCUAACUAUUAAUCGUCGUUUUCGUCGCUUUGUCGUUAAAUUGUGUUUGUAAACCGUGUUUGCUUAAUUUACGAUCGUAAUAAUCUAUUUACUUAAUUCAGAAUAUAGGAAUAUCAAUCUAUCAUAUAUCUAUUGCGCUUGUCAAUCAAAAUUGAAUCGAGUAGAGAUCGAAGCCGCUUAGGAAAUUGGUAGGUAAAAACCAAUGAUUAGCCGGAAACCAAAAAUAGUAGAUUGACUUAUUUUAUAAUCGCUUAUUUUAAUCACUUUUUUUAAUCACUUUUUAUAAUCACUUAUUCUAAAUCGAAUCGAAACCCUCAUAUUUUGUUUUAUACUUGGUUAAUUUACCAAGAGUCUUUGUGAUAUGAUACUCGAGGUGUCGCUUUCCGUUUACUAUAUAUUAUUACGCGUUUUUGACCCGUGUGCGACAACAGAUCAAAUUGGCACCGUUGCCAGAGACUUUUUAAGAUUUUAACCAUUAUUAUAGUCUAACCAUUAUUAUAGUUAUAAGUGUUAUUUUUUUAGCAUUUUUUUGCCUUAACUUUCUUGCGUUUUGGUCUUUUUGCGGUUUAGGAUAAAAAGCAAUCUAUUUUUAAGAAAAUCGUCUCAUAUUAAUCCGAUUCUUUGUCGAUUCAUUAGGAAAAAAUCAAGGAUCGAAAGCCUCUAUUUAGAAACUAAAUAAUGGACGCCACCCUAAAAAAUCGAAAUUCCCUAUUUUUCUAUUUUUUAUGAUUUAUUUUCUGUUUUGGUAGUUUCAGAAAAUUCCGCAAAAAUUCUCAAAAUUCUUAAUUGAUGUUAUUAUAUUAAUUUUCGUGUUUUUGUAUUUUUGUAUUUUAUUUUAAUUGUUUGUUUUUGUAUUUCAAUUGUUUUGACUAAAUAGGGAUAUUGUCAGUAUUUUUCUAUUUGUUGCUACAUUGUUGAAUUAGUUGUGUUUUCUCAUUGUUUGUUGAUUUUUUUUCUUUUCUAUUGAGUUUAACAUGGCUGACCAAAGAACCCUCAGAGAACUUGUUGCCCUUGAUGUUAAUUAUAAUGCUUUAUGUAUUGAAUUUCAUGUUCCUGUUGUACCUUUCGAAUCGAAAUCUUGUUUAAUACACUUGUUGCCAAAGUUUAAUGGUUUUGCAGGUGAGGAUCCGCAUAGGCAUCUAAAAGAAUUUCAGAUUGUGUGUUUUACAUCAUUGAGGCCUCAAGGAAUUACUGAAGAUCAUGUCAAUAUUAGAGCAUUUCCAUUCUCACUACAAGGUGCUGCAAAAGAUUGGUUAUAUUAUCUUGAGCCAAAUUCUAUUACAAGUUGGAAUAAUAUGAAGAAAAUCUUCUUAGAAAGAUUUUUCCCUACUUUAAGAGUUUCUUCAAUCAGAAGAGAAAUAUGUGGUAUUAGACAGGUUGACAUGGAAUCAUUGGUUGAAUAUUGGGAGAGAUUCAAGCAGUUAGUGUCGAGUUGUCCUCACCACCAGAUUUCUGAACAAUUGCUAAUACAAUACUUUUAUGAGGGAUUGCUACCAAUGGAAAGAAACAUUUUAGAUGCUACUAGUGGUGGAACACUUGUUGAUAAGACUCUAGAUGCUGCCAAAUCCUUAAUUGAGAAGAUGUCACUUAACUCCUAACAGUUCACAACAAGGGAUAAUUUUGCGGUCCAAGCAAAAGGUGUGAAUGAGAUUCAAGUUUCUUCUUCCAACAAAGCUCUAGAAACCAGAAUUGAUAAACUUACCUCUUUAAUGAAACAAUUGAUGUUACCCAUUCCACCACCACCACCAUAUAACCCUCCACAAGUAACCACCUCUUCACCUUCUGAACCUUCACUAGAGGAACUUGUCAACCAAAUGGUUGUAAAUAAUCUUCAGUUUCAACAACGAACAGAUUCUAGUAUACAGACUUUGCAAAGACAAAUUGGACAACUUUCCACUUUAAUGAAUGCCAUGCAGCAAGCUCAAGGAUCGAACCAAUUAUCUGCCCAAACAGUAGUGAAUCCAAAAGUCCCCAAUGUGAGUCCAAUUUCCUUGAGAUCCAAAAAAGUUGCAGAACCAGCCUCAGAAAAAAAUAAAAAAAAAUGUUCGUGCAACAUCUGAACUUUAUGUUGUUGUUGAGGCUGAAAAAGAGUAUGUACCAUCAAUCCCUUUCCCACAAAGAGUUAUGAAAAAUAAGAAAAUUGAUGAGGAAGACAAAGAGAGAGAGAGAUUUUGGAUGUAUUCAGAAAGAUGGCAGUGAAUAUUCCACUACUUGAUGUGAUUAAGCAGGUCCCGAAAUAUGCAAAAUUUCUGAAGGAUUUGUGUACACACAAGAGGAGGCUUAUCGGAAAUGAGAGAGUGAAUUUGGGACGAAAUGUUUCAGCCCUUUAUUCAGCCUAACACUUCACUUACUAGUUCAACCCUCACUUAGGACAUGCCACAAAAGUGCAAGGAUCCAGGAACUUUUGCUAUUCCUUGUACCAUUGGAGAUAGUAAAUUCAAAAAAUGCAUGCUUGAUUUAGGAGCGCGCAUUAAUGUUAUGCCUACUUCUGUGUAUAAUAAUCUUGACCUUGGUCCUUUGCAGCAUACAAGUUUAAUCAUUCAACUGGCGAAUAAAAGCAAUGCCCGCCCCACCGAAGUAGUGGAAGAUGUGCUUAGGGGUGGCAAAAUGGAUGGAUUGGAUGGAUAUGGAUUGGAUCGUUAAUGGAUGGAUCAAAACAAUCCAUUAUCCAUUAACAAUCCACUAAAAGUUUUUUAAAAAUAUCCAAUCCAAUCCAUCCAAAUCCAUUAUCCAUUAACAAUCCACUAAAAGUUUUUUAAAAAUAUCCAAUCCAAUCCAUCCAUUAAGAAUAAAAAUCCAUCCAAUCCAUCCAUUAUCAUAUUUUUAGUGGAUGGAUAUCCAUCCAUCUCUUUUUCCUUUAAAAAUUUUCUUUUUUGAAAAAAAUCACUUAUUUUUUUUAUUUUUUUUAAUAAACAAUAUCAGAUUUUUUCGAGAAAAAUCAUUUUUUUUCAAAAAAAAUAUUUUUUUGUAUUUUCGAAAAAAAUAAUUUAAAAAUUGUUAUUUUUUCGAAAAAAAAUAUUUUUUUUAUAUUCGUAAAAAAAUAAAUUUUUCGAAAAUAAAAUCAAAAUUUGGUAUUUUUCAAAAAUUAUUUUUAAAUUUUUGGAAAAAAAAUGAUUUUUUGUAUUUUCAAAAAAAAAUAUUUUUUUUUGAAAAAAAUAAAUUUAUUUUUAUUUUUCAAAAAAAAAGUUUUUUUUUCGAAAAAAAAAUUAUUUUUUAUUUUUCAAAAAAAAAAAAAUAAUAUUUGAAAAAAAUUAUUUUUUUAAAAUUAGAUAAAAAAAUCUAUUGGAUUAUUAAAAUGUGUUGGAUGGAUUGGAUCAAUCCAUGCUUAUAAAUGGAUGGAUUGGAUCAAUCCAUUAACUUAAUUUUUUAUAUAGUGGAUGGAUUGGAUGUAUUUUUUGAUGGAUGGAUUGGAUGGAUUUUCUCUAAAUGGAUCCAAUUGCCACCCAUAGAUGUGCUUGUUCAAGUUAAUGACUUGAUUUUUCCUGUAGACUUUUACAUUCUAGACAUGUAUGGAGAAAAAAAUUCAAGCAGAUAACCAAUCAUUUUGGGUAAACCGUUCAUGAAAACAGCUAAAACAAAAGUUGAUGGUGACGAUGGAACCAUGUCCAUGGAAUUUGGUGACAUUGUCGCGAAAUUCAAUAUUUUUGAUGCUAUGAAACAUCCCUUGGAAGAGCAUUAUGUUUUUCAAAUAGAGUUGCUUUAUGAAGUUGUGGAUGCAACUUAUUCUGAUUUGUUUUCAGCUGAUUUUCCAACUUUAUCUAGUUUUGAUAAUAUUUACUCACGUGAUGAUUGUACUAACACUAACCUUUGUGUUGUUUGUGCUGAGAUUGGUGUUGCCUUGCAGGGCGAUAGUGUAAACGAAGUUGUUAUGUAGCUGAAAAUCUUGACAUUUCGGUUGCCCCAAACAUACCAUCCAUUAAACAACCACAUUCUUUAGAGCCUAAACCACUCCACGAGGAUUCAUAUUAUUCAUCAAAGCUUCAACUCAAGCAGAAACAUAAGAAGGGAAUUGGAUGGACCCUGGCUGACACUCAUGAUAUUAGCCCAUCCUUAUAUAUGCAUAGGAUCUCACUUAAAGAUGAAACAAAAGUAGUGAGGCAACCCCGUAAUCCUUUGAUUCUUGAUGUUGUGAAAAAGGAGAUCACUUUCACGUGCUCAUUCAACACUUUUACUUACCGAAGAUUCUUCUUUGAUCCUAGAAUACGAGGAAAAUAUACUAAUCAAAAUUUAAAGGUCAAUGGACACUACCCAAAGCUACUCCAUGAGAUUUCGACUUUGGAAGAAGAGAUUGUAGAAGAGCUCUCUUUGGGAAAGACUACUUAUGCAAUCAUAUAUCCGCCUUGACUCCUCGGGUGUGUUCUUUCCUUUCUCUCACUCUUAUUUUAUAUUUAUGCUCUUUCAUUGAGGAUAAUUUAUGUUUUAAGUGUGGGGGAGGGAAUCAUUUAUUUAUUUUGUUUUCUUUGUUUUGUUUCCAGUUUUUCUCUGUUUUGAUUUUUGUUUGCUUUCUUAAAAAAAAUUGCAUGCUUUUUCCUUUGGUUUUUGAGUUACAAUUAUGAGCAUUUUUGUUAGUUCUCUUGACUAAAAUCUUGUGGUGUGAUGUGAAAAAUUUGCUGUGUAUUUUUUAGUAUGAUAGGUAGGACUAAACUCUAAAUUGUACAUCAUUUAUGGUAGAUCAAUUAACCUUGUGAGAUUUUGAGCCUUUUAAUGGAUAACAUUUAAAAAUCCAUCUCUUUCUUUCUUGUGUGAUUCACUCAUGUAUGUUAGUCUCUAGAACUUGAAUUGACUCUUGUUGAUGUUGUUGUUUACUUGUGCACACUGAUAUGAUAAAGGAUUUUUUUUAGCAAAUUAGCCAAAAAGUCAACUCUGAAUAAUAUCAUCCCUUGUUUGAAACCCCAUUGAGCAUAUUAUCCUUUUUUUUUGUUUAAAACUCAUUACAAACCGAGAAGUGAAAAAAAAUGUUAUCACCUUAUUCAAAGGGUUGGAAGAGUCUUGUUUAGAGUUGUGUGGGGUUGAAUAAGUAUGUUGGUAAUAUUUCUGAAGUUGGCAGAAAAAGAAAAGAAAAAUAGUAAAGAAAAAAAAAGAAUUAAAAAAAAUAGAAGGAUAUAUACAUGUCAACAUAUACUCCUUAUGAAAAGGAAAAAAAGAAAUAAAAAGAGAAAGGAGAAGAAAAAUAUGAAUGAAAACAGUUACUAUAGAGUUGUUGAAGUGAAUGAAAUAUUUUGUAAAUUAAACUCCCGCAAUUUCUUUCAAGUCUCUUUUGUCUCUUUGAAUUUUAGCCUAGUACCCCUUAAGAUUUAUCUCACCCUUACCUUGACCACGCUACAACCAAAUAAAAGUCAUUUUAAUCAUUGUGUGCAUGUAUUUCAAUUAUGGAUGUUAGAGCCUUUUCAAGCUUAUGGUAGUACUAACUUUCAUGUUGUGAUUUGAGUGUAAACAGUUAAUCUAAACACUUAAGAGUUGAGUGAAUUUUAUCCUGUGAGGAUCUUACUACUUUUAGAUGUACUCUUUGGUAAUUUGUUUUCCAAUCUUCUUUAAAUGUCAUAAGAAGUUGCUCACUAACACCAUAUUCUUGAAGCUUAGACUUAGAAUUUUGCUUGUAUCUUGUAUCUUGAGAACUUUUAGAAGUGCACACUCUGUUUUCUUUCCUUUUGUUUUGAAAUUGUAAUUUUGCUCGGAGUGUAAAAGUUCAAGUGUGGGGGAAUUUGAUUAGUGCAUUUUGAUGCACAUUCUUCUAUAAUUGUACUUAGACACUUAUAUACUUUAUUUUUCUUAUUUUACUAUUUUAUUAUGUUUUUAGAUUUAAGUUCCUGAUUGCCUUUAAUCUAUUUUCGUUUGCUAUUUUCAGUUUUAGCGGUUAUUUGAUACCUGUUCACUGUUUGGAUCAUAACUUGAGCUACGAGAUGCCGUUUUGUGCGUUCUGACAUGCGUUGGAAAGCUGAGAGAAAGAGCUACAACGUUUGUGUUGAAUCCAAAAUCUGAUUCGGAGUGCAGAAGUCUCAAAUAAUUCGUUGGAGUUUCGUACUUUAGGAAAUAAUUUCUUUUGGGCCAUUUGUUGGGCCGAAUUUAGAUUUUCCGCCCCAGUUUGAAUUAUAAAUGCAACGCUUAUUUUGUUUAAAAGGAGAAGUCGCGGUACUGUAGCAAACACACCUUAUUCACAAUAACUUUUUGUUUUGUGCGAUCAUGAAGAGGAACUAAUCUUCUAGAGUCAAUCUGCUGUAACCGAAUUUCCAAGGCUUUGAGGUUUUUAUCCUAUCAAUUUAAUUUCGUUUCUCUUUCAAUUCUAUUCUAUCAAAUUCAUUUGCUUAAUCUGUAUUUUAUGAAAUGGUUUUGAUUAAAUUCGUAUGAUUGCAUUUCUAACUAUUAAUCGCCGUUUUCGUCGCUUUGUCGUUAAAUUGCGUUUUGUAAAUCGUGUUUGCUUAAUUCACGAUCGUAGUAAUCCGUUUUCUUAAUUCGGAAUAUAGGAAUAUUAAUCUAUCAUAUAUCUAUUGCGUUUGUCAAUCGAAAUUGAAUUGAGUAGAGAUCGGAGCCGCUUAGGGAAUUGGUAGGUAAAAACCAAUGAAUAACCGGAAACCGAAAACAGUAGAUUGACUUAUUUUAUAAUCGCUUAUUUUAAUUACUUUUUUUAAUCACUUUUUAUAAUCACUUUUUAUUAUCACUUUUUAUAAUCACUUAUUCUAAAUCGAAUCGAAACUCCCAUGUUUUGUUUUCAUACUUGGUUAAUUUGCCAAGAGUCUUUGCGAUCCGAUACUCGAGGUGUCGCUUUCCGUUUCUAUACUGCUCAAAUUGGAGCUAUUUCGGGAGCAAAGAAGGAGGCUUGGAGCGUGUGAACUACUACAUGUUAACUAGCUGCAAAUGCAGUCUAGUUCAAAGGAGGGAGUGAUAAGUCUUUAGUCAAAUAAGAGUCCUAGUUUUUAGGAUAGUUUGUUGAAUUGAUUUAGUCAAAUUUGUUUCCUUAUUUCUAGCUAGAAGUGAGUUAUAGUUUUUUACUACACGUUCAUUUUAUUCCCUAUUUAUUUUCCUGCAUUUCACAAGGAAUAAACAAGCCAUUCUCAAUACUGUUAAUUAUUUUCUAUUAAAUUCUUGUUGCAUCUAACAAAAACCUUUUCCAUGUAACACUUGUCUUAAAGGACAAUUGUCAACAAGUUGUGUAGUCUUUAUACCUAACGGUCAAUACUAGUUGGGUGACACUAAUCUGACGUGCCUCUAAGACGGAUGUAUCUUUUAAAUUGCUUAUAACAACUAACUUCAAAAGACCCGAAAUUCAAGUGGGCAGAACAACGAUCCAAACAUGAACAACUUUAAUAAAGAUAAUAGUUAUAAUUAUGUCUUGGCAGUAUAAUUAUUAUGCUAACAAACAAAUAUGGUUUUCAAACCAACGGUCAGAAUUUCAGAAAGUAAUCAACCUGGUCAUAAUGGCUUGACUGUAAUUUUGUGUUGUGUUUGCAUUAGUAGAGGGCGUGGAGACUGUUUCCUGCUUGCUUCACGGAAGAUAACUAGUGUAUGAUGGAUAGUGACACUAUUAUUGUUAAUUCAUUUUUUAUAUGAAAAUGAUACACCACAUUUGACUAUAAUGUAUUACUAAGAAAAGGAGCGUUUACUAGUAUCUGCUGAGAAAGACCCUUAUGAUUGAUUUAUAUUAUAAAACAUGUCGGUAUAUGAAACACGUUUUGGAUCUGAAAGCCUUGUACUAUAUAAAUUCAAUUAAGGAGUGUUCUUUCUAUCUCUCACCUUGAAGAAACACACUCAGUCAUUCUUCGAGUUCUCAAGAAAUUAAUUAAGAUGGUGAGAACACCUUCUUAUGACAAGAGUGGAUUGAAGAAAGGGAUUUGGACGGUUGAGGAAGAUCUGAAAUUAAUUGCUUAUGUAACUAAAUAUGGUUGUUGGAAUUGGUGUCAACUCCCUAAGUUUGCAGGUAACCUCUCUCUCUCUAUAUAUAUAACAUGAAAUUGUAGUUAUGAUGGUUGUGAAAAUUUGUGUAAUAUACUAACAAAUUGUUUUUCAUUUCAGGUCUUUCGAGAUGUGAAAAAAGUUGUAGAUUGAGGUGGAUGAAUUAUUUAAGGCCUAAUAUCAAAAGAGGGAACUUCACUCAACAAGAAGAGGAAUUGAUUAUUCGAAUGCAUAACCAGCUGGGCAAUAGAUGGUCAGUCAUUGCGGCUGAGUUACCUGGAAGAACUGAUAACGAAGUGAAGAACCAUUGGCAUACUUUACAUAAGAGGAGAGUUCAACAGAUGAACACAGUCUCAAAUGAAGAAACUAUAGCCACCAGAUCUCCAACUAGUUCCCAGAUGUCAGACAUCACUAGCCAAUUACCUUCAUUUUUAUCAUCUAGUGAAUUCUCUUCCAUAGCUGAAGAUGAUUUUGGUUUUCUAGAUUCAUAUAUAGAAUCAAUGGAUGAAAGUUUUUGACUUGAUAAUGACUUUAGUAAAUUCCUAGACGCGUACACAAAAUCAACCGUUGAUAGUUUUUGGCGGCGCAUAUGAAGGUGACAUGUCCUCCAUUCUAUAUCUCCAUCAACUUAUAAAGUUUUGUUUUUUAGUUUCUUAUUAAAAAAUUCCGUUCACAUAUGUAAGCUUAAGAGAUUUUAAUGCAUAUUUUAAAAUUAAAGAAGUGUUGAUGUUAUUUUGAUAGACCUACAUAAAUGUGACCAUGGUUUUAAAUUGCGGUUGUGAAUACGUUUGCAGUUGCGGGUGUUGCGGAUGCGGCUAAUACAGUUGCUGCGAUGCGAAUUGCGGUCAUUGCGGUGUGAAAUACUUUUAUACUCGCACCAAACACAAAUUUAUAUAAAAAUGAAUAGGACUUCUUGUUGCAGUAGUGAUGUGGUCCGAUGCAGCUAGGCAUGAUAACAUAACCGGUACUCGCGGGUACCCACACGAAUCUGCCCCGAAGUUGACGGGAAAAAUCCGUUUUGAUUGGGUUUGGGUUCGAGUUUGGAUUUUCCCCGAUUAUAAAAUAUGGGAAUGAGUCGGGUAAUGGGGACACUAGUACCCAUCCCGCCCCCGUCCUGUUUAUUUCAUUAUGUACAAUAUUAUUUAUUUUUGAUAAUUUAGAAUAUUAAAUAUGUGGUCAAUGUUUUGAUAUUUUAAUUUGAAUUUAUUAUUUAAAAUAUUUGAAAGGUAUGUAUGAAAUUGUUUAGAUGGUUUUAUUUUAUUAUUUGUAAUAUAAUUUUAUUUUGGAAAAAAUAUAUAUUUCUAUAAAAAAAAUUGAUUUCACUAAAUGAAUGGUGGUGGAGGCGGGGAUACCCGAACCCAAUCCGAACCCGUUUGGGACGGGUUUGGGUUUUCAUUCCCCAUCCCUGUUUUGGUUUGGGGCGGGGAACGGGGAUUAUUUGGGGAUUCGGGUUUGGGUUUAGGGAGGUAAAAACCGUCUCCGACCCGUCCCGUUGCCAUACCUAGAUGCAGCGGUGAUGCGGUGCAGUGCGGUGAUGAUGCGGUCAGAUGUGGCGGAGAUGCAGUCCGGUGCGGCGGCGAUGCAGUUUUGUUGCGGCGAUUCCAUGUGAUUUCAUUUCACACCGCAAUUACGGUGUGUUGUCGUUGCGGUGUCGUUCCCAUCUGCAGUAUUGCGGCCGCAUCAAGUGAUGCGGUCCCCAAUUUCAAACCAUGGAUGUGACUGUAAUUUUCUCUAAUGCGAACUCGGGUACUAUCUAUGAAACUUUUCCUUUACUAAAAUUGAAGCUUUACUAGAUCGCUUUUCCACAUGCUAGACAAUGACACUCUUUAUCUUUGCACCAAUGAUGUAACAUCUAAAUCUUUCUUCUUAGGACCUUCUGACUUUGGGUGUUCAUUCGCUUGGAUUUGAUAGACUUCAUUUAGGAAACUGAGCAAAUUCAUAAAUCGUUAUUGUCCAUUUGUUGCUUAUCGAACAUGGUUUGUUAGGGUUGAAGUUAUCAUAGGUUAUAUUUGGAGGACAUGGGGUAUCUAUGAGAUGAUUAUGAUAUACGGAAGUUGUUCAGAAGUUAUAAUUAUAUGUUGCCUUAUAGAAAUCCAACCAAAACAUAGUUUGGGACCCUCUAGUUUUGUCCUCCUUAUACCAUUAUUUUCAUGUGAUCUUAUUUCAGUUAAAAGGGAAAUUAGGAGUUAUAGAUAUGAGCGGACAUCUUUGGUUCCUCAUAAUUUGAUUCCAAUUAUAUUUCUUGGAGUUUUGGAUAAAAGUUCAUGUCUCAACGUGAUUCCUAAGUGAGGAUGAUCAUUAGAGAAUACUAGCACGAUAUUUAGGUACAAGAGAUUUUGGAUAUUCUACCGUGGAUUAAUUGUUUUCAUUGAUACAUUUAUUUUGAUUGGAUCUUGCUUUUUGCUGAAAAAAUGUGAGAAAUCUUAUAUGUUUGACGUGGGAAAGGAAGACCACUCACCCAAUCUAGGGUGGCUAAUAAUGAGAAUGGUUAUAGGAUUCUAACAACAAGGGAUUUUUGUUAUGCAACCUAAUUUCAACGAGCAACAGCAAAACUUUAGCAAAAUAUUACAAUGCCUUUUAUAUAACUCGAAAAUUUGGCCUAUUUCAACACAUUCCUCUUGUUCAUAAAUCUGUAAUUCCAAGAAGUUUUCAAGAUAACCUUAAUGGAGCUGAAGUUUAAAGGGUUCAUUAGUUAAACAUAUAGAAGAUCCAUUUUUUCUCAUAAGCUUUAUCUGCUCACUAAUAUUGAGAGACUAAUUUCUUUGUCGAUUUAUGUCUUUCUUAGAAUGUAUAUUUCGGAAUUUCUAAAGACCCAUCUUUUAUAGGCCAAGUACAAAAGAGCAAGUAAGUUGAUUUUACUCUAAUCCUUACCGUAAAAGCACUUGUUAAAUUUAUUUUACUCUAAUCCUUAUUAAUAUGAAGCUGUCCCAAACUUGCAAGCAUUAUUGUUUGGGAAGGAUUGCAAGACAAUUUUUUUUCAAUGUUAUUUUGUCUUGAACAAAAUAUUUUUUCUAUCCUUGCAAUCUAUCUCACAUAAUGAUAUUAAUGUUUUCGUUGUUGUAUUUUUGGAAUAACCCUCAGUUAAAGAAGGAAGCUCAACCUUUAAAGAAUACUCAGUUGAUAGUUUGCAAGUGCAGAAAGUCAUUAUUGCUUUAAGUUACACAAAGAAGGUAGAAGAGAGAAGGAAAUGCAACUAAAUCUGGAUAUCAGUGAAUAUAUUAAGUAAUAAGAGCAAAUAUUUGUUGUAAACAAUUUAUUUUAAUAUUCUAUGUAAAUAAUGUAAUGAAAAAAAAGAAUUAUUCACCUCGAUUUUCGUCAUCACCGAGGUGAUAGUUAAAAGGGGAAGAUAAAAAAACUCGAUUUUAUAAUAAAACAGAGGUGUUUAAUAAU
rnacentral:lncRNA from 1 species